GGAAUGGCCGGAGGCGUUCAAGCCGGAGAGGUUCAUGAACAGCGCGGAUCUCGAGUUCGCAGGGAAGGACUACAAUUUGAUUCCAUUUGGGGAGGGUCGCAGGAUCUGCCCAGGGAAGAACCUCGGGAUAAAAACGGUGGAGAUCAUGCUCGCCAACCUUCUUUACUCCUUCGACUGGGAACUUCCAACGGGUAUGACGGAGGAGGACAUCAACAUGGAUGAGGCGCCGGGCAUCGCUGUGCACAAAAGACACGCUCUCCGCCUUCUCGCCACUAGAUAUAUAUAGCGGCAUCUAUAGCUAAAAUUUAUACAUAUGUACACCCCCGUGCAUCUUUAUAUCAUCUCUCGACGAUCUACGUACCUAUAUAUAUCUAUUAUGUGUCUUACUAGCUAUCUAAGUUAUGUGUACAAUAUGCAAAUCAUGUACGUACUUAUACCUCACAACUUCUCAGGUAGAAUCACAUAUUCUACGUACGUUAUUAUGUUAAGACAAUUUGCCGCAGCAGUAUUUCAGAAAAAUCUGAAAGCCGAUCUGGCCUGACCUACGUACGUACUCCCUUUCAUCGAGGAAGUAUUUGGCUGUUGAUACUUCCGAUUGAAUAUUACUAUACUAAUUUAAUAAAAAUUCAUUCAAUUAUAUAGGAUUUAUAUAAACUGUUGGGAGCAUUUAAACAUGAGGCCGUUGUUUUAAUGCAUUCAUCUAGGAUUUACUGGCUCAAAUAAAAAAGACGGGGCGAGCCGGAGCACGACCACGGACCGGCUUGGUCCGUUACACUAGGCAGUGUUGGGCCGCUGUCAUUGAGCCCGUUGGCCCGAGGCUCGGCACGUCAAGAACUGGCACGGCCUAAGCCCCAGGUCCUUUGCCUUGGACCUUCGGGAAUGAGUUCCUGUUCCUCCCUAGAAGCUACAUCUCCUUUGAAUGGGUUGGUCCAUAUUGGAUCAAAACAUCGCAAAUCACUUUUUUUAAAAAAAAAGAAUUAAACAUAUAAUUUGUUUAAAAAAUAUUUUUUUGUAAUUAUUUUUCAAAAUUUUAUAUUUUCUUUUCUUACGUAUAUUACCAAACUACUUUUUUCUCGCCAAUUUUUAUUUUAGUGCUAAUAAAUUUAUUAUUUUAGAAAAUCUGAUAAUAAUUCUUUUAAGAGACGUUGGUUAAGUAGUACAAAAAUAUAAAACAACUAUUCAUGGCAGACUCAUUGAUAAUUUCUAUGAAAUUAUUAUUUUAUUAUUUUAUAUAUUUUAUUAUUUUUAAUAUCAAAAUAAGUUGAAUAUAUCUCUUUUAUUUUUAAUCAGUAUUUUAUAGUGUAGGGGAUAAAAAAAAAAAAAGUUUAAGCGGUGCAAAAAAAUUAGUAUAAUAUAGAAAGUGAAAUACAGUAUAGUGUAAUUAAAUCUUACAAAAAAAUAAUUAUGGCACAUUGUAUGUGAUAAUUACGAAAAAAAGAAAAUCAUGGCGCACAGCUCAUGCACGGCACUAGUAGGAAACUCCAAUUUUGAGUCUUAGUCCUUGUUUGGAUGCAUAGUUAAAAAAUUUUAUAAAAUUUUUAUUGUAUAGUUUUGAUCUAAAUGAAAUACGAAAUUUUGUGACUAUACAAAAAUUUCAAAACUUCAUAUUUAAGCUGUUUGGAUACAUAUCAUAUUAAUUUCGUGGGUGUGAUAUUUCUUUUCUGGGGCCCACUAGAUUUCACCCGGGGUGUACUAGUUUCAAGUUUCAACUCGCGUCCUCAUUUUUCCAUCCACAACGUAGCAAUUACUAUCUUUUAUAUUCAGCGAAUGAGAGCAACUGCAUCAGAGGAGUCAGAUACGUAUAAAACUGUCCCUGAUUUGAUAUACUGUACCAAUAUUCUUAAAAUAUAGGUAGGAAAAAAAGUAUAUGUUCUUCCCAUUUAAUUUGGGAUCCGAUACGGACCUGAGUAUUUAAAUUAUUAAUAUAUUCAUCGAAUCUGUUUGAACAUAUUUGGAUAGUAAAUAUCUGUCUACUAUCCGCUUAAAAUUAGGUACGGAUCGAAUACAGAUCAGGUCCAGAUCAACUAUACGUACCCGCAUGCAUAUUUUUUAUAGACUAUUAAAUAGCUUAUGCACAAAUCAUAAAUUUUUUACUAUCGAAAACUCAUGUUCUAAUGAGUUGCACCCAGUCAAAGAGAUCGAAGAGGCAAUGAGAGCGGCUAGGGUUUGAUUUUUUUUUUACUCCUUUUCUUAAUUCCAGCAAUAAAUAUGGAUUCCAAUUUAGAGAGAAAAAUUCAAACAGUAAACAACGGUUAGAAUUUAAAAAAAUAAGGAGAAAAAAAAUAAAAAAAUAGUAAAUAUAGUGGCUAGGUUUCACUAAGAUGAAAAUACACAGAAAUCUUUAAUCUAUAAAUCCUAUUAAAAUUGAUUCCUCAACUUUAUAUUUUUUUUAUUAACUAUUGGGUGUUUUAUUUCUCCAAGUCGGAGAUGGGUAUAAUGUAUCCAAAUCCAUGCGAAAUUUUUAUGAUUUUUUUUAUCUAUAUAUUAUUUAUUUUUUAUUGGGUCCAGUUCGAUCCGGGUAGGAUAUGGAAUAUCGAGAUAUUUUGAUCAUACUUGGAUGGAAACCUCUUUUCGAUUAAUACCUAUCUUAUACAAAGUUGAACAGGUAUGGAUUGUACAUUCGUUGUACAACAAACAUGCAUUACUUUUUAAGCAUAACAAAACAUGAAUAAUUUAGGCGUCAUCUAAUAUCUUGAUAAUUUUUCUUGAGAUAAAAGUAGCAUUCUAUCCGCUUCAUUUAUUGAACAAAUGAAUUAGACUGCAUAGGUGAGGCAACAGCAAGCCUCUAACAAGGCGGGCAAAAAAAAAAGGAUAAUUGCUUAAAUAUUCUUCAAAAUUUUAAAAAUAUCUUAUUAAUCUCUACUUUUUUUUUUCUUUUCAAUAUACACCUCAUAUGUUCCUUAGUUAUUCUAAAAUAUUCCUACAAUUAUCACCCGCUAAAUUAAUUUGGGUUAACGUGAGUUAAAUAUCUACUAGAAUUUUUUAAAAAAAUUAAAAUGCCUCUUUUGCCCUUAACACAAGGGCAAAUAAGAAAUAUUGGUGAUGAUAAAAAAAUAUAUUUGAAAAGACUAAAAAUUAAAAUAUUUUUUGUGCCCCAACUUAAAGCAAAUAAGAAAAGUCGGUGAUGGUAGAAGGGUAUAUUUGAAAGGGCAAAAUAGUAAUUUUAUACAGAUAGUAGCCGAGAUUAACUCUGGAGGUAUAUUUAAAAUAGGUUGGAACGUAAAAAAAAUAUUUUCAAUAUUAACUUUUUAAGAAGAGUAAAUUAUAAAGUUGGAAACUUUUCAGUGUUAUAUAAACAAUUGCCAAAUCCAUGCGAAAUUUUUAUUAACUAUUGGGUGUUUUAUUUCUCCAAGUCGGAGAUGGGUAUAAUGUAUCCAAAUCCAUGCGAAAUUUUUAUGAUUUUUUUUAUCUAUAUAUUAUUUAUUUUUUAUUGGGUCCAGUUCGAUCCGGGUAGGAUAUGGAAUAUCGAGAUAUUUUGAUCAUACUUGGAUGGAAACCUCUUUUCGAUUAAUACCUAUCUUAUACAAAGUUGAACAGGUAUGGAUUGUACAUUCGUUGUACAACAAACAUGCAUUACUUUUUAAGCAUAACAAAACAUGAAUAAUUUAGGCGUCAUCUAAUAUCUUGAUAAUUUUUCUUGAGAUAAAAGUAGCAUUCUAUCCGCUUCAUUUAUUGAACAAAUGAAUUAGACUGCAUAGGUGAGGCAACAGCAAGCCUCUAACAAGGCGGGCAAAAAAAAAAGGAUAAUUGCUUAAAUAUUCUUCAAAAUUUUAAAAAUAUCUUAUUAAUCUCUACUUUUUUUUUUCUUUUCAAUAUACACCUCAUAUGUUCCUUAGUUAUUCUAAAAUAUUCCUACAAUUAUCACCCGCUAAAUUAAUUUGGGUUAACGUGAGUUAAAUAUCUACNCCCCCCCCCAAAAAAAAGAACAGAGAGGGAGAGGGGGGAGAGAGAGAAAGAAUUUGCUGCUAGCUUGCUAUUGCUAUAAUGCUAUGUUGAUGAGCUUAGCUAAAAAUGUGAAUUAACUAAAAUUUGAAUUUGGAGCCUCGAGAACCAACCGCUAAUUCUUUUGUCACUUGCGUCAGGAACGAUCGGUGCAAUCAACUUUUAUUAAUACAUUAAACUAUAGCAUAUAAGUACAAAUAAUAAAUCAAAUCAUGUAGCUUUUAUGAGUGGGGCACAGAGCUACAAUGUAUAGAGUAUGGAGAAAAAAAAUUUAUAAACAUAAUCUCCAAACAAUUUUAUUUGAGAAUUAGUAGGAUGGGCGCUACGUGGCAACUGGCAGCCACCAAUCGAGCGGCCAGCCCAGGUAAAAUAGUUGAAGAGAAUUUUUUUUUUUUUUGAGAAUUAGGUAGCAAGCUAUCUGCUUCAUUCAUUAAGUAAUAUAAAUUAGGCGUACAACAUGGAAGCAGCUAGGGCCUCCUAACCAAGCGAGGAAAACGAGUACAAAGCAAAAGAAAACAAACCAAACCAAGAAAAACAAGUCUAUAAAACAACAAAAGUAAAAGAUUGGAAACGAAGGAAAAACAAGUAAACAUGAGUAUAGGAGGAAGGAAUUGAACGAGGGUUAUAAUGCGGUUUCAAAGAACUUCGGUCCAAUCAGUGCUCAGAGUCACGACGCGUUCGAGAUAUUUUAAAAUAGUUGAAGAGAAUCUUCGUGCCAGUUGAAGGGGUUUCCAUGAUAUUUUAAAUGUUUGGGUUAUCUUGAUGUCUACACAUGAGUUUUUUUAUGUGGGUCGCAGUGUCCGCCAUGUAAUAAUCAUAUUUUUAUUUUUCGCCAAAAUAUCUUGUCCUAGUAACAUACCUCGUAAUGUCUUAGUCAAAAUUAUUAAGGUGUGCCACACCCAUGUGGCAAGUUAAAGACAAGUCUCCUAUCGCUGCCACCUUAAUUCAUUGCAAUUCUCCAUUAAUAUACAUAACCAAAAAUAAGAAAAAUGCUAUAGACAUCUCAGAAUAUAUAUAUAUUGUAAAAUAAUUCCAUCAAUGAGUAAAUCUUGAACUUUUCACCAUCUCUUAUAUACACAAAUCUAAUUUAUUAAUAGCAAACAAUUAAGCAUUAUCAUAUGAGGUCAUGAGCUGAGCUUAUUUGGGUCUGUGUAGAGUGUGGUGUUGUCUAAUAAUUAGGGUUUGAAUGGCAGAACAGUAUUACGUCAAAAUCGUUUUUUGUAGGAAAAUUAAAAAUUUCAUAUUAAAGAUUUUACUUUGAGAGCGAAAAAUAUGAUUUUAACUGUACUGCUGCAGUACGUAUCUAGAUAACUUGUUGCGGCUAAAAGUUCUCCAUGAUUUAUGUGGCUGAAGUUGAAGUAGAAUUAAGUCAAACACGUCGGGGGAAGCAGAUGCCAUAAAUACAUAGCAGAUGCAUUAGCUCUUUUACUUCACAACUGAAACACCCCAAAUUAAGUUUCUAAUGGCUCUUCCUGACCUGAUUGCCUCCCUGCAGCCUUUCCUUCUUGUUCUCCUACUCCUCCUUGUUUUACUCAUCGCAAGAAGAAACAAGACCAGUCCAUCACUAAAACUUCCCCCGGGCCCUCCCACGCUCCCAUUAAUCGGCAACCUCCACCAGUUAGGGAGUGUCCCCCACCGCUCCCUCUCUCGGCUCUCGCAGCGAUACGGCCCCCUCAUGCGCCUAAAACUCGGCAGCAGGCCGACCAUCGUGGUCUCCUCUGCCAACAUGGCCCAGGAGAUCCUAAAGACGCACGAUCUGGAGUCCUGCAGCCGACCAUCCCUGACCUCGUAUACAAAGCUCUCCUACGCUUCCGCGGACAUCGCCUUCGCGGCGUACGGAGAGUACUGGAGAGAGCUCCGAAGAAUUUUCAUCAUUGAACUUCUCAGUGCCAAGAAGGUUGCCUCCUUUCGAUCCAUUAGAGAAGAAGAGGUGGAAAGAACUAUGAGCUCGAUAUCCUCUUAUUCUAGCAGUUCUCUCCCCGUCGAUUUGAGCAAAGAACUGAUCGCGCUCACGAGCACAAUCACUUGUCGCAUGGCUUUCGGAAGGAGCUACUGUGACAUCGGCAGCAGGUUUCAGAUGAUUCUGAACGAAGCGCAAGCCAUGCUCGGGGGAUUUUUCAUCGCGGACUACUUUCCUAUCAUUGGAUGGGCCGACUGGCUCACAGGGAUGCGAGCGAGGCUCGAGAAGAACUUUACGGAUCUUGAUCGGUUCUACCAACAAGUCAUCGACGAGCAUCUCAAUACAGGGCAGCAGCAGCAGCAGCAGCAGCAGCAGUGUGACUCUGGUGAAGACUUCGUGCAUAUAUUACUGCGCAUGCAAAAGGAGGAGAAGAGUCUAACUGCAGACAAGAUCAAAGCAGCCCUUAUGGUAACUAAAAUUUCUGAUGCUGAAUCGCAUAAAACAUUUUUCUUUUGAAAGAAAUUCAUUUAUUAAGAACAAUAAAUUUAGCAAAAACACUGUGUAGAGCUAACAGUUUCUAUUCAUAUCUUAGGGUACCUACGGAUUACCCGUUGAUUUGCGGAAUGGACACUAAUUAAUAUUUUUACUAAAAGAUGUUUAUAAAAUAGAAAGGUUUACAUAUUUUGGACGAUCCACGGAUACCAGCACGUCUUUUUUAAAUAAAAUUAGUGAAUAUUUGUUUAUUUUAUUUAUCUCUCGAAUUCUAAUCUUAAUUUUUCUUGGUAUUAUUUUAAAACUCUAUAUUAUCUACCGCAUAUUGUGAUAAUUUAAAUAACAAUUAUUAUUAUUAUAUAUAUAUAUAUAUAGACUGUACGUACUAUUAAUAAUAUUUGGACUUUUUUACUAUUGAGUUUUUAGCCGUUAGAUGAAAAAUUAUAGGGUUAGGAUGAUAAUGAUUUUCUAGGGUUUAGUGAUGGUAGCCCUAGAGUUGAAUAGGUUGUUGGUUGAAUAGUAUAAUCUAAAGUAUGGAAUUGAUUAAAGUGUAGAUUUAACGGUUAAAAAAUUAAUAGCAAAAAAGCAAAGUAUAAGAAUAAAAAAAACACAUCUCAGUGAGUAAUUCACAUAUCUAUCUGUCUGCAGGUAUGGAUAAGAAUGCUGCCUAUCUAAAAAUUCAGGAAUAAAUUUUAUUUAUACCUAAAUGAACCGUGGAUAUAAUAAUCAGCCCAUAAAUCAUGCAACAGUAUAGUCAUGCUAUUAUACACAAGUUCACUAUUUUCUGCAGGAUGUUUUCAUUGGUGGGAGCGAUACGUCGUCAGCCACUGUGGUAUGGUCGAUGACGGAGCUAAUGAGGCACCCACAAGCGAUGAAAAAAGUUCAAGAAGAAGUAAGAAGCGUCGUCCGGGGAAAAGAAAAGGUAAAGGAGAGCGACAUCGACAAACUACGCUACCUCAAGUGCGUUGUGAAGGAGACCUUGCGGUUGCACCCGGUGGCUCCCUUGCUGAUCCCUAGAGAAACGUUGCAGCAUUUCAAAAUCGACGGCUAUGACGUCCCGCCCAAUACAAUGAUAUACAUCAAUGCUUGGGCGAUUGGAAGGGACGGGAGUUACUGGGAAUCGCCGGAGGCAUUCAAGCCAGAGAGGUUCACGCAUAGUUUGGAUCUCGAGUUCGCGGGAAAGGACUUCAAUUUGAUACCAUUUGGGGAAGGUCGCAGGAUCUGCCCCGGGAAGAACCUCGGGAUAAAAACGGUGGAGAUCAUGCUCGCCAACCUUCUUUACUCCUUCGACUGGGAACUUCCAACGGGAAUGACGAGGGAGGAUAUCAACAUGGAUGAGGCGCCGGGUGUUGCUGUGCACAAAAGACAUGCUCUCCGCCUUCUCGCCACUAGAUAUAGCAGCAUCAAUAGCUAAAAUAUAUACAUAAAUACACCACUGUGCAUCUAUGUAUCAUCUCUCGACAAUCUACCUAUAUUUAUUAUGUAUUUUACUAGCUAUCUUAUGUGUACAAUUUGCAAAUCAUAUGCUUAUACCUCACAACUUCUCAGGAGUACAAAAAUUAAUUUAUCAAUAUUUAAGAAUUGGGUAUAAUCACAUAUUCUACGUUAUUAUGUUAAGACAAUUAAUUUGCCACAGCAGUGUUUUAGAAAAAUUUGAAAGCCGAUCUGGCCUGACCUAUGCACCACUUUCAUGGAGGAAGUAUUUGGCUGUUGAUACUUCCGAUUGAAUAAAGAUUUAUUCAAUUAUAUAGGAUUUAAAAUGUUUGGAGCAUUUAAACGUGAGGUCGUUGUUUUAACGCAUUCAUCUAGGAUUUACUCGCUCAAAUAAAAAAGGACGGGGCGAGGUGGAGCACGACCACGGACCGACUUGGUCCGUUAGACUAGGCAGUGUUGGGCCGCUGUCGUUGAGCCCGUCGGCCCGAUGCUCGGCACGGCACAUGCUUCCUGGGCCCUAAGGCCUCUGCCUUUGGACCUUAAGGUAUGAGUUCCGAAGCUAGCAUUAAAUUAUGGGAUAGGCUAAAAUACAUACAAAUUAAAAUUUUAGCGGUCAAAUUUUUUUUAAAAUUAUGAUGGUACUAAAAUAAAAAAAUAAAAAAUAAAAAAUAAAAAAAUUUAGAAUUGAGAGAGCACUUAGUACCAAGAACUUUUAAAAAAAAUAGAUUAAUCAAUAUACUUUUAAAAUUAAAUAAAAAUAUAUCUUUUAAAUUUUUAUAUGUAAAGAAAUAUUAUACAAAUUAUGAAAAGUCUGAAAGCGGGCGUGGCCCCCCUCAACCCCCAUAUAGCUCCGCCUCUAAGUUCCUCCCUAGAAGCUCUCAUUCAAAAGUCUGCCAAUAAAGACCUUGGGAAGAAUGGGUUGGUCCAUAUUGGAUCAACGCAUCGUAUAAUUUUUAAAUUUAUAUUUUAAAAAAAUUUAAGAGACCGGUCCAGAGCACGGCCUGGUUCGACAAUCCAAACCAAAGGUCUGUAGUGACAGAGGCUUGGAAGAUCCAACCCUCCACGGCUCAGCCAGGAUUUCAAAGCCGAACCCAAUUCCUAGCCUGUUUUGGUAUGAAUAAUAUGAGUCGUGUUGCUUGACACGACCCAUAUUACACUCCUAUAUUUAUAUCACAUAUUUUUACCUCUUUCUUCUUUAUCUAUUCUUUUUCAUCAUUACGGUUGACAUAUUCUACUUCUCUCAUUCUACUUCUCACAAGGAAUGAAAUAAUUAAAUUAAGGUAAAAAUUUUAGUUACUCUCUGAAAUUAUUGUAACCAUGUUUUACAUAAAAUCAUGAGUGAAUUUGUUGAAAAUCAUAAAUUGGAGUCAUAGAUAAAUUUGUAGGAAGCAGGUAUUUUGGGGUGGGAAGUGAUAUGAGAGUAAGGUUAAUGUAGAAGAAAAGAUGUAACUUCAGUCUAUACUAUAAAAAUAUAAUCGAUAGACAAAUAAUGUGCACUUGAUAUUUUGUUCUAUCCGUUUCGUUUAUUUUUUUUAAUAAUAAAUUUAGCUGGAAAUAUGAAUCAAUUAGAAUUCGAACUUGAGAUUUCAGAUACUAACCACCAAGCCCUUUAUCACUUGCGCUAGGAACAGUAGAUUUUAUUCUGCUAAAUUGGAAGUGUUAUUCUUUUGUGCUCGAUAGAAUCAUGUCGCUGGCAUUAUAAUAGCAGAUCUUGUGGAUGUGUCGAAUUUCUUAGUGUUUGGUUCAGUGGAAAAUUAUGUGAUAACCUGUUUCUUGCAUAUAUGUCCUCAUGUGUAGGUAAUAAUUGUUAUUUUAUUUGAUGUUGACAUUGAUAUUGGAGCUGGAGCUCCUAUUUAAACUAUAAUAACAGAUGCGCAUAUUCUUUCUUGUAUUGCUUAAGCUCUGUAGUCUGGAAGUACAGUAGUUUCUUCGGUGCUUUCGCGAAUUUAUUAUGCAAUUAUGAUGCACAUAAUAUUGACAGAUACCUGGACAAGAAAAAAGAGCCUGAGGUGCAACAAUAGAUUCUGAAAGCAGGUUGUAUCUUCGGCUUAUUCAAUAAGAGGUGAUGCAACUGAAGCUUUAUGUUGUUCACAUUGCAAUUCGAAUUGUUUGUACUCUUCUUUUCAAAGAUCAUGCAACUUCACUGGUGUUCUCCUCCUAAAUCAAUUUAAACUGUGUUGCGAAUUUGUUGCUUUGUGGAUUUGCGAUUUUCUGUUGGUAUCCAAGAAGGGUUUGAUUCUUUAUUUUUUAAAUAAAUGUUUUAAAUAAUUGGAAUGACUAUAUGAAUAGUGUCAGUAGUAAAAUAACCGAUUUUCGUUUGGGCUUGUGUGUGAAAGUCUAGGUCCUAAUUUAUGCCACGGGCUAGAAGAUCAAAGAUUGUGCUGGAAGAAUUUGUAGAAAAAAUGUACGUGCACUCUGUUAUAGGAUGCACAUCUUCUAUCUUUUUAUUCUAGAGUUUAAUCAAUCCUUUUGAAUUCUUAGUAUAAAAAAAAUUGUAGUAUAAGUGAGUAAAUCCUAGUCGUGGAGAAAGUGGGGCGUAAAUCUAAUACCUUUAGCAUGCAGGUAGCAUUACUCAUUUCUUUAAUAUUGACUCUUACUAAAGUUGUAAUUUUACAAUUCAUCCAACAUAAGAAAGAAACAAUCUAGUGGGUUGUUUCUUUGCAUGCAGUUCCUACCGCAUGUCUAAUUGCUCGUGAAGCUAAUUUUAUUAUUUGAAUUGAUGUAUUGGAAACUGUAAGAAAAGAUCUAUAUCAAUAUAUAGAAGGUAAAAUUACAUCCAAAUUAGCUGCAAGUUUAGUUGCAAUAAUUGUAACAAGUAAUUUCAAAUAAGAAAUAAAGAUAUAUAGCAGCCUAAUCAAUUUUCAAACUAAACAAAUAUAGUUUCGUCUAUGACGGAUAUAAUCUCUUCAAUAUAUAUAUAUAUAUAUAUAUAUAUAUAUAUAUAUAUAUAUAUAUAUGUGUGUGUGUGUGUGUGUGUGUGUGUGUAGGGGGAUACAAUUUCUCAAUACAGUUACUAGUUAAAUGCAUCCAAAUUUAUAGAAUUUUUUACUAUAUUCAAUUAAACAAAAAUUUAUAACUGGGACUCUUAUAUUUUUAACUAUCUUAGAUAUUUUGAAUUAAACCGAAUCAAACAACCUUCAAGCGUAGCAGGGUCGUCAUCAUCAUUCUAGAAGAACCAAAGAUUGCGGAGAACAACAAUCCUCGGUGUCGUACGUUUCAUAUUUUUAUUUUUAUUUUUUUUUUAGAGAUAGAUACCACGUUACCCGCUUCGUUUAUUUCAUUUAGAAAUAAAUUUAGCUUGAAAUGUGAAUGAACUAGGAUUCGAACUUGGGUCUCGGAUACCAACCACCAAGCCCUUUGCCACUUGCUUCUAGGGACAGUCGGUGUUUCAUAUUUUUAUUGUUCUCAGUUUUUGUUAGUUUUUUUUAGGGAAAACUUCAAAAACUCCCCCUGUGGUUUCGUAGUUUCUCACUUUGCCCCCAUGUGGUUUAAAGUGUAUCAAUUUGUCAUCAUCUGGUUUCGUUUUUAUCUUUUCGGUAGCUUUUUCGUUAAUAUUUCGUUAAAUUAUAUACAAAAAACUUCAGAUAUUCAUCUAGAUUUAUCAAAUAUUCACUUUAGUACCCUUUAAUUUUAACUUUAUUACUGAUUUAAGGAAAAAAAAUAAUGAAAUUGAUAAGAAAAAGAGAAAAACAAAACCACAGGGGGGCAAAUUGAUACAUUUUAAACCACAGGAGGGCAAAGUGAGAAACUACGAAACCACAGAGAGGGUUCUUUGAAGUUUUCCCUUUUUUUUAUUUGAACAUAAAUUACAGUUUAUAUAUAUAGGAUUAGGUGACACUGGGGGGAGGGACUUAAUUAUGCUUCCAGUUGCUACUUAGCUUGUUAAUUAGGCAUGUUGAAAACAUCGAUCUCUUUGCAGAAAUGACGGAGAAGUAGGUGAGAUUUACGUUUUAUUUAUUUGGCCGGAGAAAUCCUUGGACGUUCGAGUUUAAACUUUAAACAAUGUGAGUGCAUACGAUUUGUCCAAUAAAUACAAAAUAACAACAAUAGAAAAUAGGCCCUAAUUUGAAUAUUCCUAGGGACGUCUCUAUCCAUCGUACGUGCUAAAAUAUAUAGAAGCAAUUUAUGCUAGACGCAUUAGUAAGCCGUAUUGGGCGUCAGCAGUCGCCCAACGGCAUUAAGGCUUAAUUUGGUAUUGAGAUGAAUCUAACGCUAUUAGAUAGAAUAGAGUUGAGAAAAAACAUAUAUAUAGGGAUAUGCUACUGCGUUCUCCGAUAGGACUGCAGAAAAUAUAUCAUAACCUACUAACUGCAAUAUACGGAACAUAAUAUUACGUACGGAAACAAACAUGGUAUUUUUUCAUCGUCGUUUCUCACUGCACGUAAUGCAAUGCCCCCGCAAUCCCAAACGAAACCUAAGUAAAUUGGAGUUAAAACAACCGAAUAGGGUAAUUACAUGCACUUUUGGUCCUCAAUCUCUGGGGCGUGUGAUAUUUUAGUUUUCGAAUUUUAAUAUGCUGUAAUUUCUGAUUCGAACCAUAAGGUGCAUUACACUUUAAUUUUAGAACUUUAAUUAAUUACAAUUUAUACUCGAACUAUAUAAGUAAUGUGAAGCUUUAGUUCUCGAACUUUUUGGAUUAUUAUAAUCAGGUUCCACAGCCUAAUUUUUUGAAUAAAUAUUGAUGAAUUAAUAAUAUCGAAAUGGUAUAGUAUUUUAAUUACUAUUGCUUCAUCAAGAAGUAUAUUACUACAAUUCAGAAAGUUCGAGAACUAAAAUCUUACAUAUUUCAUAGAUUGAAUAAAAAAUUAUGGCUAAUUAAGAUUGAAGAUUAAAGUGUCAUGUACCUUAUAGUUUGAUUUAAAAAUUAUAACUAAUUAAAAUUUAAAAACUAAAGUGUGUCAAGCGUCUUAUAGUUUUAGCUAAAAAACUUGAGAACUAAAAUAUUAUGUUCGUCAUUAUUUGAGGACCAAAAGUUUUAUUUACAUAGAAGCUCAAUUUUAUAUAUAUAGGAUAAGGCUAUUAUACUCUUAUGAGUAUAGAUUUUUUUGUACUCAUAAAUUUUUCGGCCAUUAGAUAAAAUAAUAUGCAGUGAGGAUGAUAGUAGUUCUCUAGGGUUGAACGGCCAGUUGGUUGAAUAGUAUGAUAAAAAAAAUGUGUUUAACGGCAAAAAAUUUUUGAGUAUAAAGAGAUUUAUACUCAUAAGAAUACAGUAGCCGAACUCUCUCUCUCUCUCUCUAUAUAUAUAUAUAUUAAUUUUUUUGUUUAAAAUUUAACCACUUUAAUGCACAUAAUAAUAAUAAUAAUAAUAAUAAUAAUAAUAAUAAUAUCUUUGCGGUAAUCCCAAUGGGAGCCUCCAGAGUCUUAGAAUUAGGUUGAUAUGGGAGAGAGAUUUCCUUUUUUUUUUAUGCACAGAAAUUUCACGCAUACACUAGCGGAUGGACUGGAGUAGAUUUUUCUAAUGCACGAGGUUGGACUGGACUGGAGUAGAUUUUUCUAAUGCACGAGGUUGGACCGAGAAAACCUGUCAAAAAUCACGCGGAUUACCACUCGAUCUCUAGUGCGCAUUUACGUUUCCAACUCGGAAUCCGUGAUUACAACAGCACAAUAAUUUACUACAUAUUAUUAUCAGCCUCUAGUGCGCACUUUAUAGCAGGAAUUGAAUCAGUACUAAAGAUAUAACAGCAUAAUAUUUAACCACUAGAUUAGGCCUUCUGCCUAAACAUGGUACGUAAUUAUUAUUAUUCAAAGCAAAAGUAUACAAAACAAAUAAAAUAAAACAAAAAUUUUGUCACAUAAGGAUAGCUCAUCUCAUUAUGCACGGGGCUAAUAAUAGAAAACUCCAAAUCUGAAUUUUUGAGUAGGGGUGCCGUUUUUUCUGGGCCCACAAGAUUAAUUUCUUCUCAAUCUGCACCAACUCGUGUCGUCUCCUUAUCGCCAACGUUAGCCAUCUUCUGCAUUAAUUGCUGAGUAAAAAGUUUGACUUCUUAUGGAUGGACAUGCAGGUACGGAGACGGAACUCCACGUCGACUAACAUCCAUCUUACACCGCCUUGAACAGGUUUUUGUUUUUGUGCUCAUUACGUAUCACAAUCACCUCUACAAGUCUUAUGCGUUCGUGUCGGACAUGCAUAUAUCCGAUAUAAAUACUCUUAGAACACUCGUUUAAUAUCGAUUCAUAAUAUAUACAAUUAAAAUAUAUAUAUAUAUAUAUAUAUAUAUAUAUUUAUUUAUUUAUUUAUUUUAUUUUUUUUUGCAUAUACAAUAUACGUUAAUAAAAUAUUUUAGUUUUUUUAUCAAUAUAUACAAUUUUUUUGACAAUAUAAAUAAAUUAUGUAUGAUGGAAAUUUUUUUUCUUAAAAUAUAUGAACUAUUAAUGAAAAUUUUACUAACUUUCAUUUAUAUGAAAAAUAUAAUAAUAUUUUAUCAAAAUUAAUAUUUUAUAUAUAAUAAAAAUAUAUUAUUAUAUUAAUAAUAUUGUAUUUUAUUAGCGGUGUUUAUGUCGUGUCCGUAUUUUAAUUUUUUAAAAGUUUCCAACUCAAGGUGUCCGAAUCGUGUUGUAUUUCGUAUUCUGUGUCAGUGUCCGUGACGUCUAAAUUUUCGUUUAAAUUUCACUAUUUUUUUUCUUUUUUUUUUUGUUUUGGUGGCUGGAGUGUCCGCAUGCGCACUGAUCAUCAUUCCAGUUUCUGCUGUAUUCCGAUAAUACAACAUCUUUUAUAUUUGAAGUUGCCGAAGUGUGUGACCGUUUUUCUCAUUCUCGCUGCUAUCGUACCAAUGGGUUUAAGCUGUUUGUCUCAUCAAAAUGUUUUCAGGGAUUAAGAGUUCAAAUUAACGAUCGAUAUAGUUAAAGUUAAUAUAAAAAAUUUAAAUGCCUGAAAAGUAAAUUUGUGGUUUUGAAAGUUUUUUAUAUCCUGAUGGAAAGAUGUUGGGUUUGAUUUUUUAUUAUUUUUUAUUCUAAUAAGUUAUUUGCUCAGUUAACUAACGGUGUAAAACAAUUCUAAUAUAUUAUUUUGUGAUAGAAUAUUUUUUUUUUCACCAUUUCUAUUUUGUUUGACAAUCCCGAUCUUUAAUUGAAAAGCUUUAAUCUCCAUUUACAUAACAUUAUUUGUUAGCAAUUGUUCAUUUUGUGGUCUUCAAAAGAUAAGAAUUUUUUUUAAAAAAAAAUCACACAAUUCAAUUCCUGAACACUUUAUUUGUUUUAGGUCAUGCUUGACGGUCUGAUUACUAAUUCAAAAUUUUUAUCUUUAAAAAUGGCGUAGGGGCCAUUUGGAACUGAGGCUUGUCCAGUACUAACCAGAAAGAUAGAGUUGGAAGAAAAUCACUUAAGGAUAUAUUUUUUUAUUUUUCAAUGAGAAGGUAAAAAAUAUAUUGUAAUCGAUUUUUUAUGAUACUGAUAUUUCAUAUAAAAGUAAAUAAAAUAUAUUUUUAUCGUUCUUUUAUAAUAUAAUUUUUUUGUAAUUUCAAAUGUCGAGACAAAUUGGUGUGGUUUUUCUGGGCCUAGAAGACCAAAUUAAAUAACAAAGGAGGAACGGAGAAACGGAUAAGAGGAAAACAUGCUGGCUAAUUAUUGUGGCGCCUCAAUUCUUGACUAGACUAGAAGGGACCCCAAAAGCAUUUGCCCUUUCAUUUUUUGGAUAGAUAGAAAUGGUGGGCUGAGCUUUUAAUUUCUUUUCAUAUUAUCAAACAAUUGAGCUAUAAAAAUUUGUCCUAUUAUAACAGGAUAAUAAUAGCUAUAAAAAUUUGUCCUAUUAUAAUAGGAUAAUGAUAGCUAGAUUCCACUUAUCUUUUCACCACCGCCUUCAAAUGCGAGAAAUUCUACACUGUCACGCUUACAUAACGUCAUCAAUAAUAAAUCAAUCAUAUUUUUUCUUUUUAAACAAAAGUACAAUAAAAAUAUUUUUUACAAUUAUGAUGAAACAUAUAUCCCUAAUUGGUUUUACGCCACGUCACUAAUAUACCCGUUGCAUUCUAUAAUUUUUCCUUCAGUGCACUCAUCAAUUAAUUAAUAACAAAAUAUAAAAAAUGCUAUAGGCACCUCAAAAUAUAUUUUGAAAUAUUAUUAACAUGUAAAUUUUACUUAAAAUUUUGAAAAUGAAACUAGGAUGCUAUUAAUUAUAUUUUUUAGGUUAAAAUCGUGGAAAUUUUAUCAAAAAAAGUACUUGAUUACAUCAUAUAUAAUUUUGGAAAUAACAUAAGCGCAUUUACAUACAAAGGAAGAGUAAAAACAUAAAUAUCUUCAAAACUAGAUAAAAGAUGAGAGUGAACAUUAACAAUUCCCAAACCUAAGAAAGAAAAGAAAAAAGAAAUAAAUAAAUAAUGAGCCGUCUUCGAAUCUGAAACAAAUAAAUCAAGCUCGUGACAAUGAAGUUCGUGACAGAAAAUAAAAUAUGAUAGAUGAAAGUAAUCAUUUAAUCUGUACGUACGCCCAUUCAAACUCAUGUCCCUCUAAUUAUACCAGAGCGUCUCUAUAUAUUUUCGAAUCUGUCAAUCUCUAGUAUGAAAAAUACUCAUGAGGUUUAUUGGGCCUGACAGAGUUAAAGAAGAUAGAAAAGAGCAGAACAAUAAGAAGAUGAGCUAGAUAAUUGUGCUACCAAGUUGUUUUCAAUGAUACGGUUUUCAAAUCGGCGAUCGGCUCCGUUACAUUUAAUCUACAUUAUUUAAAAUAUUUAAAAAUUAAAUUUCAUAAUUUUUUGACAUCGUUUACCUAUCAAACGAGUAGUCAAAAAACGAACGGCUGAAAAUAAAAAUUUCAUAAAAAAUAAUGAUAAAAAAUUUAAAUUUAAGACCAGAGAUACCGAUCUUACUCUAAAUAGUAAAAAAAAAAUUUAUAUAAAAAUUUUAUCAGAUUUGAAUUAUUUUACACUGUUAGAUUCACAUAUGCAUCACAUCGUUCAUUAAAAUUAUCAAUUUUGAGACAUUUUGAUCACUAGCCAAAUGAUAUUGAAAAAUUAUGAAAUUUAGUUUUCAAAUACUUUUAAUAUUGUAGAGCAAGUUUAAUAAAGCCGAUCGUCGAUUUGGAAGCCGCAUCAUUGAAAACAACUUGGUAGCACGAAAGCCUCCGUGUUACCGGUCUAACUUCAUAUAUAUAUAUAUAUAUAUAAUAAUAUAUAUUAUAUAUAUAUAAUUAUAUAUAUAAUAUAUAUAUAAUAUAAAUAUAUUAGUCUGGGUUGUUACUAGGAGUCCCAGCGGAGCCCUCCGUGCUCUUAAGUCGUUUUUGAUGAUAGAAUUUUCGAAUCGACGAUCGGCUCAGUUAGACUUAAUCUAGCUAACAUAUUUGAAAUAUCCAAAAAAUAAAUUUUGCGAUUUUUCGAUAUCAUUUAGCUAGCGAUCAAAAGGAUUCAAAAUCAACAAUUUUUAAUGAUUGAUGUAUACCAUUUGCAAGUUUAACGAUGUAGAAGUUUUCAAAUCAGAUAAAAUUUUGAUAGAAAAUUUGAUAAAAGUCCCUCCUGAGCUUCAGUAAUCAUAUAAAAUAAAAUUUAAAAAAAAGACAAAAGUAGAAAUAUGACCAACAUGAAACCUAGCUAGAGUGUGCUUAAUGAAUAAAGCAAAUAGCUUGCUACCUCUUUUUCAAAAAAAAAAAAAAAAAAAAAAAAAAAAAAAAAUAAAAAAAAAAACCUAGCUAGAGUGCAUAUUUUACACCUAUCCUAUAAGGUAUGUACAUGUACAUAGCAUUGCUCAUUUAUAUUGGUCUGUGCAAAGUGUAGUUUUGUGUAAUAAAUGUGGGUUGAAUAACAUCAGUAACUCAUCAAUCUACGUAAUAAAAUUUUUACACCAUCUAAAUAACUAUUUUGUGCCGCCAACAAUACUCCUCCAUAAUAAAUAAAUGAAAGGAGAAGCUAAAAUGAGGCAUGCGGAUACCACAAAUAAAUAGCAUAUGCAUGAACUCCUUUUGAGUCCGUACCUAACGGAGAGCACUCCAAAUUAAGUUUCUAUGGCUCUUCCUAACAUGAUUGCCUCCCUGCCUUUUGUUGUUCUCCUACUGCUCCCUCUUCUACUCCUCACAAGAAGAAAGGGGAGCAGCACAUCACUAAAACUUCCCCCGGCCCCUCCCAAGCUCCCAUUCAUCGGCAACCUCCAUCAGCUUGGAAUACUCCCCCACCGCUCCCUCUCUCGGCUCUCGCAGCGAUACGGCCCCCUCAUGUACCUAAAACUUGGCUGCAGGCCGACCGUCGUGGUGUCCUCUGCCGACAUGGCCCGGGAGAUCCUAAAGACGCACGAUCUGGAGUCCUGCAGCCGACCGUCCCUCACCUCGUAUACGAAGCUCUCCUACGGUGGCUCGGACAUCGGCCUUGCAGCAUACGGAGAGCAGUGGAGAGAGCUCCGAAGGAUUUGUAUCAUCGAACUUUUCAGUGCCAAGAAGGUCGCCUCGUUUCGAUCCAUUCGAGAAGAAGAGGUGGAAAGAACUAUGAGCUUCAUAUCCGACUGCUCAACCAGUUAUCUCCCUGUCGAUUUGAGCAAAGAACUGCUAGCGCUUACGAGCACUAUCACUUGUAGAAUGGCUUUUGGAAGGAGCUACCAUGAUGUUGGAAGCAGGUUUCAGGCAAUUCUGAACGAAACACAAACUAUACUCGCAAGCCUUUUCAUCGCGGACUACUUGCCGAUCAUCGGAUGGGCCGAUUGGCUCACAGGGAUGAGAGCGAGGCUCGAGAAGAACUUUAUCGAUCUUGAUCGGUUCUACCAGAAAGUCAUUGACGAGCAUCUCGAUACAAUGCGGCAGCAACGUGACUCUAGCGAAGACUUUGUGCAUAUGUUACUGCGCAUGCAAAAGAACGAGAAUAGUCUAACCACAGACCAGAUCAAAGGAGUCCUUAUGGUCAGUAAAAUGUUCGAUGCCGAAUCACAUAAAACAUUUUCCUAUAUUGUUCUACACGAGUGAGUUUACUCUUUUUUGCAGAAUGUUUUCAUUGGUGGGAGCGAUACGUCCUCAGCCACCGUGGAGUGGGCGAUGACGGAGCUAAUGAGGCACCCGCAAGCGAUGAAAAAAGCUCAAGAAGAGGUAAGAAGCCUCGUCGGGGGGAAAGGGAAGGUAGAGGAGAAGGACAUCGACCAACUGCGCUACCUCAAGUGCGUUGUGAAGGAGACCUUGCGGUUGCACCCGGUGGCUCCCAUGCUGAUCCCAAGAACAACGUUGCAGCAUUUCAAAAUCGAUGGCUAUGAUGUCCCGCCCAAUACGAUGAUGUACAUCAAUGCUUGGGCGAUCGGAAGGGACGGGAGCUACUGGGAAUGGCCGGAGUCGUUCAAGCCGGAGAGGUUCAUUAAUAGCUCGGAUCUCGAGUUCGCAGGUAAGGACUACAAUUUGAUACCAUUUGGGGAAGGUCGCAGGAUCUGUCCAGGAAAGAACCUCGGGAUAAAAACGGUGGAGAUCAUGCUUGCCAACCUUCUUUACUCCUUCGACUGGGAACUUCCAACGGGUAUGACGAAGGAGGAUAUCAACAUGGAUGAGGCGCCGGGCAUUGCUGUGCACAAAAGACAUGCUCUCCACCUUCUCGCCACCAGACAUAUAUAGCGGCAUCUAUAGCUAGUUAGCUACUAUACUAUAGAUAAUAUAAAAUUAGUAUUUACAAUAAAUAUUUUAGCCCUUGGAUGUCUAGAGUUGUCUAUUUGGGAGUUCUAUUAGUAUGGAUCUAAGAGCCAAAAGAUCUGUAAGAAUAACUAUUUCUCUACUAUAUAUCUAAAAUAUAGUAGCUUAACCGAGUGUGUGUAUAUAUAUAAUGCCUCUCACUGAGAUGUACUCUUAUUUAUCUAUCAUUGUACAUCUAUCUAUCAUUUUUCUAUCUACCUAUAUCAAUUACGUAUCUUACUAGCUAUCUUAAUUGUACAAUAUGCAAAUCAUAUGUAUGUACAAGCUUGAUCUCACACCUUCUCAGGCGUACAAAAACUAAUUUAUCAAUAUUUAAAAAUAGGGUAGAAUCACAUAUUCUACGUUAUUAUGUUAAGACAAUUUGCUACAGCAGUGUUUAAGAAAAAUCGAGGAAGUAUUUGGCUGUUGAUACUUCCGAUUGAAUAUUAGUAUACUAAUUAAAUAAAGAUUCCUUCAAUUAUCAAGGGUUUAAAAUGUUUGGAGCAUUUAAACGUGAGGCCGUUGUUUUGAUGCAUUCAUCUAGGAUUUACUGGCUCAAAUAAAAAAAGACGGGCCGAGCUGGAGCACGGCCACGGACAGGCUUAGUCCGUCCAUUAUUACACUACCUAUUGUUGGGCUGCGGCCGUUGAGCCCGUCGGCCCGAGGCUCGACACGGCACGAACUCAAGGCCUUUGCCUCAGACCUUGGGGUAUUAGUUCCUCCCUAGACGCUCUCCUUCCGAAGUCUGCCAAUAAAGACCUUGGGAAGAAUGGGUUGGUCCCUAUUGGAUCAAAACCUCGCAAUUGGUCAGCUUUUUUAAAAAAAUUAAAAAUUAAAAAUAAAAAAUAUAAUUUUUUAAAAAAUAAAAUAUUCACUAUUUUAUAAAUUUUUUUCUAAAUUUCAAUUGCUUUGAUCAAAAUAUAAAUUUAAAUAGGAGUAAUUUAAUUUUUUUAAUUUUUAUUUAAAAAAAAUAAUAAUAAUAAGAGACCGGUCAGCCUGAUUUGACAUGGCCAGUGACUUUCAGACCAGAGGGCCGUGCUAGGCCAGAGGCUUGGAAGAUCGACCCUGCACGACUUGGCCAGGAUUUGAAAGUCGAACCAACUCCUAGCUAGCUUAUUUUGAUCUGAAUAAGGAGGUGUUCGGCUUAGCUUUUAAAAAGCUCUUUUGGGUUGAAAAGUGAUUUUCGGCCCAAUAGAGCGUUUGGCAAAUUUAUUUUUAAAAUCUGAUUCUGCUUCUCAGAAUCAGAAAACUGAUUUUGAAGGCCCAGAAUCAGAAGCUGAAAAAAGCUGCUUCUUGAAAACUGAUUCUAAUUUUGGACUCAAAUAUUAAAUUUUUAUUUUUAUUUUAAAUUCAAUGUUUAAAUUAAAAUUUAAUUAGUUUUUUGUGCAUAAACGUUAUAUAGUUUUUACAUUGAUUUUAAUAUCAAACUUUAGUACUAUAUUUAUAAUUCGAUAAGCGAUCAAUUUUAUAUUUAAAAAUAUUCAAAAUAUGAUGGUGGACUUUUAAUUCUAACAAAUAAGUAUUCUAGAAUUUAUUAAAUAGUUUAAUAUAUUCUUUUUUGAAAUGAAAUUAUUAAUUGAAUAAAAUCGAUGGACGCUCAAUUCUAUCUUUGUCUGGAAUAAAAUUAAAAUAUAAAAAAAAAAAUUACGCUUUUGAUCCUCAAACUAUAAGGCAAGUGGCAUUUUAGUCCUCAAAUUUUAAUGAGUUAUAUUUUCUUGCUCAAACUAUGAGGCAUAUAAAGCUUUAGUUUCUAAAUUUUAAUUAGCUGCAAUUUUAGACUCGAACUAUGAAAUAUAUAAUAUUUUAAUCUUCAAUUUUCACUGUUAUUAUAAAUAUAAUUUAUUAUUUUUAUAAUUUUUUAAUUUUUUAUCAUUCAUAUAUUUUAUUAUAAAUAUGUAGAUCGAAGGAUUUGGAGAUUUUUUUUUUUUUAUAUGAAUCCCAUCUAAUUCUUCUCGUUUAUUAUAAAAAAUUUAAAUAUAUAUUUUUUAUGAAUAAUUUUGAAAUAAUUUUAACUAUAUGUAUUAAAUAUAAAUUUUAAUUUUAUAAUAUUGAUCACUUAGAUAUAAAUCGUAUAAUAAAAAAUAAAAAAAAUUGAUAGAGUUUAAAUUAUUUAUUUAUUUUAACAAAUUUAGUUGUGAGAAUCAUAUGAAUUAUAUUAACUAAAUUUAUAAAGCUAAACGACGCAUUUAAAUUUUAAAGUCAAAGUAUUAUUGACUGGCUCAUAUUUAAUAUAUAAAAAAGUUGGAUAGUAAAAAUAAAAUUUUGAAAGCUUGAAUAGCUAAUUUAAAAUAAUUCAUAGUUCAGAAAUACUUUGUAUAUUUUAACUUUAAUUUUAAUAUCAAUCUUCGAUGCCAUAUUUAUAGUUUAAUGAGUGAUUAAUUUCACAUUUAAAAUUUUUUGAAAUAUUCAAAAUAUGAUUGGUCGACUUUUAAUUUUAACAAUUCGGCAUUCUAAAAUUUAUUCGAUAAUUUAACAUUCUUUCCUCAUAUGACUUCGUUUGGAAUAAAAAUAAAACAUAAAAAGAUAAAUUACACUUUUGGUCAUCAAACUAUAAGAUGCGUGAAACUUUAGGCCUCAAAGUUUCAUGUAUUACACAAUUUCUUGCACAAACUAUAAGGCACGUAAUGUUUUAGUCCUUAAACUUUAAUUAGUUGUAAUUCUUGGUUCUAAUUAUAAGGCAUAUAAUAUUUUAAUUCUCUACUCUUACUGCUGCUAUAAAUAUAAUUUAUUAUUCUUAUAAUUUUUUUCUUAUUUAUUUUAUACUUCUUAUAUUUUUAUUCUUAUAGUUUUACUAUAACAGCUGUUGUGUCUUCUUCAACUUCUUUUAUUUAUAUUUUAUUUUUAUUCUUUAACUCUUUUUUUAUUUCUUUCGUUGUUUCUUUUUUUUAGCUUUAUUUUUUUUUGUAAAAUUUUUUAUCUUUAUUUAUUUAUUUAUUUUUGUGGAAUCGAUUCGCUGCAACGCGCGGACACCUUCACUAGUAGUAUAAUUAAGUCUUACAAAAAAAAUGAUUGCAGCACAUCGUAUGUGAUAACUAGAGUGAGGCUGAUAUAUAUGCUUUUGGAAAUUCGGAACCCUCCGUACUUUCAAGUCGUUUUCGAUGUUGGAAUUUUCGAAUCGACGAUCGACUCCGUUAGACUUGAUUUAGAGUAUUUAAAGUAGCUAGAAAAAAAAUUUUGUGAUUUUUCGAUAUCAUUUUCCUAAUAAUCGAACGGGCUCAAAAUCAAUAAUUUUAAUGGCCGUGGUGAGUCGUUUGCAAAUUUAAUGGUGUAAAUAUUCAAAUCACGUAAAAUUUUGAUAGAAAUUUUUUUAUACUAUAUAAAACAAAAACAAUUUCUGAUCUAAAAUUUCAAAGCCAUAUCAUCACAUUUUGUAAAAUUUUUAUUUUCAGCCGUUGAUUUUGAGCCCCUUCAAUUACUAGGCAAAUGAUAUUGAAAAAUCGUAAAAUUUAUUUUCUAUAUAUUUCAAAUACUCUAAGAGCAUGUUUGGUUCACCUAUUUUAGAUUAUGGAAUCGGAAUGGAAUUCAUUGAUUCCGAUAGUUGCCGUUUGUUUUAUAGAAAUCGGAUUCCAAUUCCCAUUCCACUCCGGAAUGGAAAUGGCCAAAUCUAUUUAUAAUCCAAUUCGGUUUUAAAUUCCGGAUUGGCUCAUUCCAAAGUAAACUAUUUAAAAUUUUCUUUCAUCAACACCUACCUCCUCUCCCUUCAUCACUUUUCUCUCUCUUAAUCAAAAUCCUCUUUCAAAAAUUUUAAAUUUUCAUUUCGAUUUCCAUUCCAAUAAUGAACCAAACAUUUUUGGAUGAUUCGUCAUUUCAUUUCCUAUUCCAAAACAAUCCAAUUUUAUUUUUCAUUUCUAUUUCAAUCAUGAACAAAACAUGCCCUAAAUUCAAUCUAACGGAAUCAAUUGUAAAUUUAAAAAUCUCACCAUCAAAACGACUUAAUGGUACAUAAUAAAAACGAUUUGAUAGUACGGAGAUGUACGGGUGUGAUUUAAUUCUUUUCUGGGGCCCACUAGAUUUAACCUAGUGUGUGCCAGUUUCAACAUGCGUCCUCAUUUCUCCAUCCACUACGUAGCAAUUGCUAUCUUCUAUAUUCAGCGCGUGAGACUGUGAGAGCAACUGCAUAAAAGGAGUCAGAUACGUAUACAAGUGUCCCUGAUUUGAUAUACUGUACCAAUAUUCUAAAAAUAUAGGUAGACAAAAAAAAAAGUGUAUGUUCUGCCCAUUUAACUUCGAGUCCGAUACGAAUGAGUAUUUAAAUUAUUAAUAUAUUUAUCGGAUCUAUUUGAACAGAUUUGAAUAGUAAAUAUUUGUUUACUAUCCGCUUAAAAUUAGGUACGUAUCGGAUACGUGUUAAAUCUAGAUCAAAUAUAUGUACCCGCAUGCGUAUUUUUUUUUAUAGACUAUUAAAUAAUUUUUGAAAAAAUCAUAAACUUUUUAUUAUAGAAAACUCGCAUUCUAAUGAGUUGCACCCAGGUAGAGAGAUCGGAGAGGUAAAGAGAGCGGCUAGAGUUUGAUUUUUUUUCUUUUUUUACUUUGUUCCUUAAUUCCAGCAAUAAAUAGAGAUUUCUAUUUAGAGAGAAAGAUUCAAACAGUAAUCAAAAGUGGUUAGAACUAAAAAAAAUAAGAAGUAAAAAAAAAAAAAUUUAAAAAAGAAUAAGCAUAACGGCUAGGUUUCACUGAGAUGAAAAUGCACAAAUACCCUUUAUCUAUAAGUUCUAUAAAAAUUAAUCCCUCAACUUUAAAUUUUUUUUAUUUACUAUUGCAUAUUUCACUCCGAAUCAGAGUUCGGAUUUAAAAACUAUUCCGGACCGGUCGGAUCCAAGUCCGACCCAAAAUUUUCAUGAAUUUUUUUAUCCAUAUAUUAUUUAAAUAACAAAAACGUGAAUAAUUUAGGCCUCCUCUAAUAUCUUCUUAAUUUUUUUUAAUAUUAAUUUUAUAUAACUAAUAUAUUGAUAGAAAGAUUCUUUUUUUCCUUCGUAUUUUUAUAAUUGAUUAACUUGGAUAUAAACAAAACAUCCUAAACAUAAUAUCCGUAGGCAAGAACCACAAAAAUAUAGGAGCCUUAUCCAUAUGGAAAUGAUUUUGCAACCAACUUUUAUUAAUAGAUUCAACUAUAGUAUAUAAAUACAAGGAUAAAUCAAAACAUGUAGCCUUUAUGAGUAGGGCACAGAAUUACGACGUGUAGAGCAUGAACAAAAUUUUAUGGGCCCCAGACAAUUUUACAUUUUUAUGGGCCCCAAACAAUUUUAUUUGGGGAUUGCUCGGAUGGGCGCUGUGUGGCGGGUGGCGCUCAUCCGAGCCACCCAGCAAAAAUAGUUGAAGAGAGUCUCCACGCCAGUUGAAGGGGUCUCCAUGUCAUUUUAACACAGCAAAGGGUCGAAUGGGAGGAAUUCUACAUUGUCACACUUGCACCACGUCAUCAAUAACAAGCCAAUCACAUUCAUCCUUUUCAAACAAAAGUACAAUAAAAAUACUUUUUUACAAUCAUAAUGGGACAUAUAUUCUUAAAAGGAUUAAUUUGAUUGGUUUGUUACGCCACGUCACUAAUAUACCCGUUGCAUUCUAGAAUUUUUCGUCGAAUGGGCACCGCUCUCCGCACGGCGCCCAUCCGAGCAAUCUUCAAACCUGUUUGAGCAUUAUGUUCAUAAAAUUUUUAUGCGUACAGCACAAAUUGGGUUAUCUUGAUGCCUACCCUGCUACACAUGAGUUUUUAUGUGGGCUAGAGUAUCCGCCAUAUAACAAUCGUACUAGUGAAAUACUCACGCGAUGCUGCAGAUAUAAAAAUAUUUUUAUAAUAAAUUUUAUUUUUUUAAUAUGUUUAUAUAGUUUUAUAAGUCUAAUUAUUAAUAAAAUAAAAAUUAUAAAAAAUAAUUUAAUCGUUAAAUCUAUUUAAAUAAAAGUCGAUAAAAUCGGUAUAUGUGCAAAGUAAAUUUAUACAAUAAUUUAUUUUAUAAAUAUUUAUAUGAAAAUAAUUUGAGAUAAAUCUAUCAAAAUAAUUAAAAAAAUCAAUAAAUAGAAGAAAAAUAAAAAUGUAAAAGAAAUUGUUUAAUAACAUUAAUUAUAUAUACAUAGAAAUACAUUAUAUUUCGAAAAUUUUACUUCUAAAAUUUAAAUGCUCUAAUUUUUUUAUACAACGAUAUUUUACUUGAUUUAAAUUGUAUCUAUUUGGUUAGAUUUUAUUACGCAAUUUAUUAUGCGUAUUAUUAAUAAAAUUAAUUAACUAUAUUCAUAGAAUUUAGAGAUUUAAAAUUUAAAUUAAUUUCAUAGAGUUUAGAUAUUUAAAAUUUUAAAUUUUAAAUUUUAAAAUUUGAAAAUAAAUAUUAUAAAUGAAAUAUAAAAUAUAAAAUUUGAAAAUUUGGAAGUAUCAAAAUUUUAAAUUUUGAUGUCAAUAUAUAUAUAUAUAUAUAGAACUAGACUACUAUCCUAUUAAUAGCAUCAAGUCAUUUGUGCUACCAAGUUUUUGGUCAUUGGAUUAAGAGACGUACGAUUAGGAUGAUGUGGGCCCCAUACCCGACCCAAUUCCACCCGCUACCAGGGAUCAUAAGUGCGCUUACUGGUGGUGCGCUUGUACGGAUACACCGGGUGCACGUAUUAAUUUCCCUCUCGAGCAAGAGACCCCGUAGACGAGGGUUCUGGGGAGAGGUUUUAUCUCCUCGGCGCGAAGAAUCGCGGGGCACGACUCUGUUAUAUCCCCGGACAAUCCGCAACCACCGAUGAUGAAAUUGCUCUGAGGUCGGAUGGCGGUAAGGAUGAUGGGUGCUUCCGGCAGCGACGCCCGAGGUAAAAGAAAUGUAAGUNUAUAUAUAUAUAUAUAUAUAUAGAGAGAGAGAGAGAGAGAGAGAGAGAGAGAGAGAGAGAGAGAGAGAGAGAGAGCGUGUGUGCUAUUAGGAGCAGGAGGCCUCCGUGCUUCUAAGCCGUUUUUGAUGAUGGAGCUUUCGAAUCGACGAUCAACUUCGUUAGACUUGAUCUAGCAUAUUUGAAGUAUCUAGAAAAUAAAUUUUGUAACUUUUCGAUAUCAUUUACCUAACGAUCGAAAGCGUUGAAAAUCAACGAUUGAAAAUAAAAAUCUCACAAAAAGUUGUGAUAUAGUAUUAAAAUUUUCGAUCAAACAUAUUGAUCUUGCUGUAAAUAGUAUAAAGAAUUUUCUAUCAAGAUUUCAUCUGAUUUGAAUAUUUCUACAUCGUUAUACUUGCAAACGGUAUACAUCAACCAUUAAAAAUUGUUGAUUUUGAAUUCUUUCGAUCACUAGGAAAAUGAUACCGAAAAAUCACAAAAAUUAUUUUCUAAAUAGUUCAAAUACGCUAGAUCAAGUCUAACGGUGCCGAUCGUUGAUUCGAAUGCUCUAUCAUGGAAAACGGCUUAGGAGCACGAAGGCCUCCGUGCUCCUAAUAGCACACAAGACCUACUAUAUAUAUAUAUAUAUAUAUAUAUAUAUAUAUAUAUAUAUAUAUAGAGUCCGGCUACUAUACUCUUAUGAAUACGAUUGCCCUCAUACUCAUAAGUUGUUUUUGAUGAUAGAACUUUCGAAUCGACGAUCCAUACCGUUAAACAUUAUCUAGAGGAUUUAAAACUUCUGGAAAUCAAAUUUUAUAAUUUUUCGACAUCAUUUACCUUACGAUCAAAAUCUCACAAAAUUAAUAAUUUUUAGCAGCUGAUAUGGGAUAGUUGCUAGUUUAACGGUGUAAAAGAAUUAGAAUAUGUUGAAUUUUUUAUAGAAAAUUCUAUUCACUACCUAGAUAAAGAUUAAUAACUCCGAUCUUAAAUUAAAGAAUCCGAUCAUCCAUUUUUAGGACGUCGUUUGAUUUUGACCAUUCAUUUUAUGUCCGUUUGAUGGGCUUUAUUAUGAUUUCGAAAAAUUACGAAAUUUAUUUUUUAGAAGUUUCAAAUACUCUAGAUCAUAUUUAACGGAGUGGAUCGUCGAUUUGGAAGCCCCAUCAUCGAAAACAACUUAUGAGUACGAAGGGUCCAAUACUCAUAAGAGUAUAGUAGCCCUAAUAUAUAUAUAUAUAUAUAUAUAUAUAUAUAUAUAUAUAUUAAAGUAGAACCCUUAGUGUAAGAUUAACAUGUGUCUUUCUAUAUACUUGUCACGUGUCAAGCUCAAAUAUAGAAUAACAAUUUUAUUAGAAACACUAUUAAAUCAAAUUAUACCAAUUAAUUAUAAUUAUAUAUACAAUCAAAUCAAAUUAAAUCAAAUAAAGGUUUAUCAUGCAUCUUUCUAUAUGGUUGCCGCUUGUCAAACUCAAAUAUAGCAAUUAGAUGGUUAAAAAUAAAAUUUUAUUAGAAAACAAUAUUAAAUCAAAUUAAAUAUAAUUAUAUAUACAAUUAACAAAAAAUUUAUUAGGAAACACUAUUAAACACUAUUAUUAUAAUUAUACUCAAAUAUAUAUAGAAUAAAAAUUUUAUUAGAAAACACUAUUAAAUCAGAUUAAAUCAAAUUAUACCAAUUAAAUAUAAUCUAUUCUAUUUACUACAUACUAAAGUAGAACCCUUGGUAUAAAAUUGACAUGUGUCUUUCUAUAUGUUUGCCACGUGUCAAACUUAAAUAUAGAAUAAUAAUUUUAUUAGAAAAUACUAUUAAAUCAAAUUAACAAAUUACACCAAUNCUAAAAUUUUAUUACAAAACAAUAUUAAAUUAAAUCAAAUCAAAUUAUACCAAUUAAAUAUAAUUAUAUAUACAAUUAAAGAGAAUUUUAUUAGGAAACACUAUUAAACACUAUUAAAUUAAAUUAUAAUUAUAUAUACAAUUAACUAGAAUUUUAUUAGGAAACACUAUUAAACACUAUUAAGGCUUAGUUUGGCAUUGAGACCUAUCUAACGGUAUUAGAUAGAAUAGAGUUGAGGAAAAAGCAUAUAGGGAUAUGCUUCUGCGUUCUCCAGUGGGACCGCAGAAAAUAUGUUGUAACCGACUCAUCGCGAUAUGCGGAACGCAAUAUUAGUUACGGAAACAAAUAGGGUAUUUUUCCAACGUAUUUUCUCACCGCACGUAACGCAAUUUCCUCAAAAUCCCAAACGAAGCCUAAAUCAAAUUAUAAUUAUAUAUACAAUUAAAUUAAAUUAAAUCAAAUUAAAUAUUUAUCAUGCAUCUUUCUAUAUAUUUGCCAUAUGUCAAACUCAAAUAUAGCAAUUAGAUGGUUAAAAAUAAAAUUAUAUUAAACACUAUUAAAUCAAAUUAAAACAAAUUAUACUAAUUAAAUAUAAUUAUAUAUACAAUUAACUAGAAUUUUAUUAGGAAAUACUAUUAAACACUAUUAAAUCAAAUUAUAAUUAUAUAUACAAUUAAAUCAAAUUAAAUGUUUAUUUCAAAAAUUAUAAUUUUUCAAUAAUUCAACUCUAUCAUUUUAUUUUUUAAAUAAAUUUAGAUUUUUUUCUAAAAAAUUUUACUAAUAUUAUGAUAUUUAUUAUUUUACUUAUUUAACAAAUUAUCUAUAUUGCUAUUGGAGCAGAUACUUUUCAUCUUCAUGCAACAAAAUUUUUUUUUUCCUUCAUAUUUUCUUGAAGAUCAACAUCUAUAUUUAUUUGAAUCUUGAAAGUUGGUAUAUUUCUUAUAUAUAUACGUGUGCUUACUUUAAUUUGUGUUAAACAUGAAAGUUUAGUUGAUCUCAUUAUAUGCUUAAAUAUUAAUGUCGUUUGUAAUUUUUCAUAUCAAUUUGAGUUUUCAUUUUGUUUUGCACAUCAAUAUGUAAAUAUAAAUUAUUUCGCAGACUAAUUCAUAGAUAAUAGAGUAUGGUUGAAUUUUGUUCUUUACUUUGGUCCAUAAUGUAGAUAAAUAGAUUUUCAUUUUCCGCCAAAAUAUCUUGUCCUAGUAAUAUACCUCUUAUUGUUUUAGUCAAAAUUAUUGAGGUGUGCCCCACCCAUGUGGCUUGUUAAAGCCAACUCUUCGGGUCUAUGUAAAGUGUGGUGUUGUUUAAUAAUUAGGGUUGAAAGGCAGAGCAGUAUUACGUCAAAGUCUUUUUUUGUUGGAAAAUUAAAAAUUAAAAAUUAAAGAUUUUAUUUUGGGAGACAAAAAUAUAUUUUAACUGUACUGCUGCAGUAUCUAGUUAAGUUUUUGCGGCUAAUUAAAGUCCUCUAUGAUUUAUGUGGCUGAAGUUGAAAAUAGAAGUCAAACAUGGGGGGCGCAGAUACUGUAAAUACAUAGCAUACGCAUGAACUCUUUACUUCACACCUGAAGCACCUCCAAAUUAAGUUUCUAAUGGCUCUUCCUGACAUGAUUGCCUCCCUGCAGCCUUUCCUUCUUGUUCUCCUACUGCUCCUUCUUCUACUCAUCGCAAGAAGAAACAAGAUCAGUCCAUCACUAAAACUUCCCCCAGGCCCUCCUAAGCUCCCAUUGAUCGGCAACCUCCACCAGUUAGGGAGUCUCCCCUGGCGCUCCCUCUCUCGGCUCUCGCAACAAUACGGGCCUCUCAUGUAUCUAAAACUCGGCAGUAGGCCGACCAUCGUGGUCUCCUCUGCCAACAUAGCCCGGGAGAUCCUAAAGACGCACGAUCUGGAGUCCUGCAGCCGACCGUCCCUCACCUCGUAUGCAAAGCUCUCCUACGGAUCCUCGGACAUCGCCCUUUCAGCGUAUAGUGAGAAGUGGAGAGAGCUCCGAAGAGUUUUCAUCAUCGAACUUCUCAGCAGUAAGAAGGUCGCCUCGUUUCGAUCCAUUCGAGAAGAAGAGGUGGAAAGAACUAUGAGCUUCAUAUCUGACUGCUCAAACAGUUCUCUCCCAGUCGACUUGAGCAAAGAACUGAUAGCGCUUACGAGCACUAUCACCUGUAGAAUGGCUUUUGGAAGGACCUACCAAGAUGUUAGCAGCAGGUUGCAGACGAUUCUAAAAGAAACGGUUGUCUUGCUCGCGGGCUUUUUCAUCGCAGACUACUUGCCUAUCAUCGGAUGGGCCGAUUGGCUCACAGGGAUGAGAGCGAGGCUCGAGAAGAACUUUACCGAUCUUGAUCGGCUCUACCAACAAGUCAUCGACGAGCAUCUCAAUACACUGCAGCAGCAUGACUCGGGUGAAGACUUUGUGCAUAUAUUACUGCGAAUGCAAAAGGAUGAGAAAAGUCUAACCACAGACCAGAUCAAAGCAGCCAUUUUGGUAAGAAAAAUUUUCCAUACCGAAUCACAUAAAACAUUUUUCUUUCGAAAGAAAUCAUUUAUAAAGAACAAUAAAUGUAGCAAUAAGUAUGUAGGCCUAACAAUCUCUAUUCAUACUCUAGGGUACUCAGGAAUUAUCAGUAGAUUUGCGGGUAUUGGGCAUUAAUUAUUUGUGUCCAAAAAAUUAGUGGCAAAAUAAGUAGGUUCAAAUAUUUGGAGGAUCACGCAUACCAGCAUAUACAUAUAUUUUUUUUAUGAAAUAAGUGAAUAUUUAUUUUAUUUUAUCUUAUCUCUAGGAUUGUAAUUUUAAUUUUUCUUAGUGUUAUUUUAAAACUCUAUAUUAUCUUCUAUAUAUUGUGAUAAUUUAAAGGCCUAUUUGUAUAAAAAAAUCCAUAAAUUUUGAGAUUUUGCCAAACUGGGCCGCCUUUUUUCAUUUUGCAGAUUGGGUACGAAUUUUCAGCAAACUGACCAAAAUACUCUUAUUACUUUUUCUCUCCCCUUUUUCUCUCUACUAUUCUUUUCUCUUGUUUAUUUUUUUUUUCUCUUGCCAAAAAAAGUAGAGGAGGCAGAGGCGAAUGCAGAAACGGUCCGCCUCGUCUCUCACCCUCAUGCUCUCGUCCUUGCCCUUCCCCUCGCCCGCGCAACCCCCACCUUCCUCGCCUUCGACCCCACCGAGGCUGCACCGCGACUCUUUUUUUUUUUUUUUCCUCUUCGACCCUCAUCCACCGUCUCCGAUAACGACGCCUCUCUUGCCCUUUCCCGCCCUUCUUGUCUUCUCCCUCCUCCUCUGUCGCAUCCGACGACGACACAUCUUUGCCGACACCGACACUGUGGAGGUCGCUGCGGCGCUGCAGCCUCGGAGUGGGUGUUCCUUAGCGGCGUCGUCGCCGGCGCCGUGACUGUUGGCAGAGAGGAGUGACUAAAAAAAAUUAUAGAAGAAAUAAGAAAAAAAAUAAUGAUAAAAAAUUAUACAAAAAAAAAGAUGAAGAUGAAAUUGCAAUGUUAAAAUAAAAGUAUACUGUUUUAAAAAAACGUUGCACUAUUAUGGACAUAAGUUAUACUACUUAAUAUAUAAACUGCAGCUUUAAGAUGAUAAUUACACUCUUUAAAUAAAAAUUGUACUUUUUGAGAGAUAUUUACACUAUUUCUUCUCGUAUUGCAUUUUUUCAGAUGUAAAUUGCAUCCAUUAAGAUAAAAAUUAUACUCUUUAAACGAAAGUUGCACUCUUUGAGAGAUAUUUAUUUUGUUUCUCCUUUUGUUGCAGUACUCUUUGAGAUAUAAACUGCAUCCCUUUAAGAAAUAUUUAUACUGUUUUUCCUCUUGUUGUACCGUUUCUUCUCUUGUUGCACUAUUUCUUUUCUUGUUACACUAUUUUUUUUCUUAAAGGGUGCAGUUUAAGAGAAAAAAUAGUGUAACAAGAGAAAAAUAGUGCAAUAAAAAAAAAUAAUGCAACAAGAGGAGAAACAAUAUAAAUAUCUCUUAAAGGGGUGCAGUUUACAUCUCAAAAAGUGCAAUAAGAGAAAAACAGUGUAAAUAUCUCUAAAAGAGUGUAAUUUUCAUUUAAAGAGUGUAACUUUAAUCUUAAUGGAUGCAGUUUACAUCUGAAAGAGUGCAAUAAGAGGAGAAAUAGUGUAAAUAUCUCUUAAAGAGUAUAAUUUUCGUUUAAAAAGUGUAAUUUUUAUUUUAAAACUGCAGUUUAUAUCUUAAGUAGUGCAACUUAUAUCCAUAAUAGUGCAAUAUUUUUUUAAAACCGUGUCAUUUUAUUUUAACUGUGCAAUUUUAUUUUUAUCUUUCUUUUUCUAUAAUUUUUUAUCUUUAUUUAUUUUUCUUGCUUCUUCUCUAAUUUUUUUUUAUCACACCUCUCUGCCAGCGCCAGCGACGACGCAGCGAAGGACCCCCCGCUCCAAGUUGGCAGCACCGCAGCGACCUCCACGGUAUUGGCGUCGUCGUUGUCGUCGGACGGUGGAGGAGAGUCAAAGAGGAAAAAAAAGAAGAGUUGCGGUGCGGUCUCGGCAAGGUUGGAGGCGAGGAAGGUGGGGGGGUGCGCAGGUGCCGGCGAGGGCGAAAGCAUGAGGAUGAGAAGCAAGGAGGACCGUUUCCGCUUUCGCCUCUGCCUCCGCUGUCUCUUCGGCAAGAGAAAAAAAAAUGAACAAAAGAAAAAAAAGAGGGGAGAGAAAAAAUAAUAAAGGUAUUUUGGUCAGUUUGCUGAAAAUUCAGUCCGAAUCUGCAAAAUAAAAAAAAUUACCCACUUUUGUAAAAGCACAAAACUAAUGAAUUUUUUAUACAAAUUAGCCUAAUUUAAAUAAUAAUUAUGUUAUUUUUUAAAAAAUAAAUAAACAAUAUAUAUAUUUACGUGUGUGUAUUUGAAAAGUUUAAAGAAUAAAAAAAAACACUUCGUGGGUAAUUCGUAUACCUAUCCGCUUAAAUGUAAUUUUGUGGGUAAUUCGCAUACCUAUCCGCUUACAUGUAUGGAUAAGAAUGCUGACUAUUUAAAAAUUUUUGAAUAAAUUUUAUUCAUACCUAAAUAAAUCUGCGGAUAUAAAAAUCAGUCCAGCGCAUGAAUCAUUCAACACUAAAGUCAUCUUUUUAUACACGAGAUUUCUUUUUUUUGCAGGAUGUUUUCGUUGGUGGGAGCAAUACGUCCUCAGCCACUGUGGUAUGGUCGAUGACAGAGCUAAUGAGGCACCCGCAAGUGAUGAAAAAAGCUCAAGAAGAAGUGAGAAGCCUCGUCGGGGGGAAAGGAAAGGUAGAGGAGAGCGACAUCGACCCACUGCGCUACCUCAAGUGCGUUGUGAAGGAGACCAUGCGGUUGCACCCGGUGGCUCCCAUGCUGCUCCCAAGAACAACGUUGCGGCAUUUCAAAAUCGACAGCUAUGAUGUCCCGCUCGAUUCAAUGAUAUACAUCAAUGCUUGGGCAAUCGGAAGGGACGGGAGUUACUGGGAAUCGCCGGAGGCGUUCAAGCCGGAGAGGUUCAUGAAUAGCUCGGAUCUCGAGUUCGCCGGAAAGGACUUCAAUUUGAUACCAUUUGGGGAAGGUCGCAGGAUCUGCCCAGGGAAGAACCUCGGGCUCAAAACAGUCGAGAUCAUGCUCGCCAACCUUCUUUACUCCUUCGACUGGGAACUUCCAACGGGUAUGACGAAGGAGGACAUCAACAUGGAUGAGGCGCUGGGCAUUGCUGUGCACAAAAGACAUGCUCUCCGCCUUCUCGCCACCAGACAUAUAUAGCGGCAUCAAUAGCUACUAUACUAUAGAUAAUAUAAAAUUAGUAUUUACAAUAAAUAUUUUAGCCCUUGGAUGUCUAGAGUUGUCUAUUUGGGAGUUCUAUUAAUUAGUAUGGAUCUAAGAGCCAAAAGAUCUGUAAUAAUUACUUUUCAUCUACUAUUUAUAAUAUAGUAGCUUAAUCGAGUGUGUGUAUAUAUAUAAUGCGUCUCACUGAAAUGCACUCUUAUUUAUCUACUACUUCUAUCUACCUAUAUCAAUUACGUAUUUUACUAGCUAUCUUAUGCGAACAAUAUGCAAAUCAUAUGUAUAUACAAGCUUGAUCUCACAACUUCUCAGGCACACAAAAAUUAAUUUCUCAAUAUUUAAGAAUAGGGUAGAAUCACAUAUUUUACGUUAUAUGUUAACACAAGUUGCUACAGCAAAGUUUAAGAAAAAUCUGAUAGCCGACCUGGUAUGACCUACGUACCCUUUUCAUUGAGGAAAUAUAUUUGGCUGUUGAUAAUUCCGACUUAGUAUUACUAUACUAAUUUAAUGAAAGAUUCAUUCAAUUAUAUAGGAUUUAAACUGUUUGGAGCAUUUGAACGCGAGACCGUUGAUUAAUUGCAUCCAUCUAGGAUUUACUGGCUAAAAUAAAAAAAGACGGCCGAGCUGGGGGCACACCGGUUGGGCCCAUCACACUGGGCAGUGUUGGGCAGCUGCCGUUGAGCUCGUCGACCCAAGGCUCGGCACGGCGCGGCACAAACUGGCACAGCCUGGGCCCCAAGGCCUUUGCCUUGGACCUUGGGGCACGAGUUCCUCCCUUGGGAAGAAUGGGUUGGUCCAUAUUGGAUCAAAACCUUGCAAUUAAUCACUUUUUUUAAAAAAAAAAAAGUAAAAAAUAGAUUUUUUUUAAAAAAAAUAAAAUAUUUAUUAUUUUAUAAUUCUUUUUAUAAAUUUCAAUUGCUUUGAUCAAAAUAUAAAUUUAAACAGGAGUAAUUUAAUUUUUAAAUUUAUAUUUUUUAAAAAAAUUUAAAAAAAAUAGAGAGAUUGGUCCGCCCGGUUCGAUAAGGCCAGUGCCUUCCAUGCCAGAGGGCCCGUGCAGGGGAGGAGGCAUGAAAGAUCCAACCCUGCACCGCUCGGCUAGAAUUUGAAAGUCAGACCGACGCCUAGCUCGUUUUAGUCUAGAUAAUAUAGGUCAUGCGGUUUGAACAGGACUCACAUUACACCCCUACAUCUAUAUCACAUAUUUGUUCCUCUCUCUCUCUUAUCUAUUCUUUUUCAUCAUUACAGUUGACAUAUUCUACUUCUCUCAUUCUGCUUCUCACAAUGAAUAAAAUAAUUAAAUUAAGGUAAAAACAUUAGUUACUAUCUGAAAUUAUUGUAACCAUGUUUUACAUGAAUUUGUUUUUUUUUUUUUUUUAGAGAUAGGUAGCAUGCUACCCGCUUCGUUUAUUUCAUUUAGAAAUAAACUUAGCUAGAAAUGUGAAUCAACUAGGAUUCGAACUUGAGACCUCAGGUACCAACCAUCAAGCCUUUUGCCACUUGCGCUAGGGACAGCCGGUUUUACAUGAAUUUGUUGAAAAUCAUAAAUUGGAGUCAUAGAUAAAUCUAUAGGAAGGAGGUAUUUUGGGGUGGAGAGUGAUGUGAGAGUAAGGUUAAUGUAGAAGAAAAGAUGUAAUCUAUUUAGCUAAGGUGAAAUAGGUAAUUCAUUUCGAUUUGAAUUUGGAACCAAUAAUAUGAAAUAGGAAGAAAUCAUAAAGAAAUAUAAUAGAUACUACGUACAAAAGGGGUGGAUAGUAGGCGGACUUUUUUGAUUAGUUCAAUUUACAAUUUUUUAUUAAAUUUAAAAUUUAAAAAUUUUAAAAAAUAAAUAGUCAAAUUUGAAUAUGUGACGGUUGCUAUACUAUAAAAAUAUGAACUACAGACAUAAAUGACAUUUUUUUUCUUGUUCGCAGGGUAAACCUACAUCAAAAUAAAAACAGAUUAUCAAAAUAAAAGCAAAUUAUCGGUCUCUACGCAGGGGUGUAAACGAGCCGAACACGAGCGAGCUAGGGUCAGCUCAUAUUCGGGCUCAUUUAUUAAACGAGGCCGAACACGAGCUCGCUCGUUAAAUAUCGGAGCCGAAAAUUCAGCUCGUGUUCGGCUCGUUUUAUUAACGAGCCGAACACGGCUGACUCACGAGCUGGUUAACAACAAUAAAUUAAAAAGAAUUAGAUUAAUAUAUAUAAAAAUAAUUUAUAAAAUCUUAUCCAUUAAAUUUUGAUUUAAUAGUUGAAACUUUACAUAUAAAUGAGUCUUUUAUAAUUAAAUUUGCAUUUAUAUUUUUAUUUUGCUAAAAAUUAAUAAUAAAAAUAUGUAUUAUAUAUAAUAUUUAUUUAUAUAUAAAAUAUAAAUUAAAUAAAUUAUAUAAAUGUAAAUAUAUGUAUUCGAGCUGUUAUCGAGUCGAACAUGAGCGAGCUGACCCCAGCUCGUGUUCGGCUCGUUUAUUAAACGAGCUGAAAAUUGAGGCUCGUGUUCGGCUCGUUUACUAACGAGCGAGCCGAUAUCGAGACUCAUUUCGAGCCGAACACGAGCUGACUCACGAACAGCGAGCUGAAUUGCCACCCCUAUCUCUACGGAGCAUUAAUUACGUAUAUAUCUAGCUAAUUAGAGUCGUUGAAACUAAAAGCAAAAUAUUUCGUCCCUUAAUAGACCUCCUGGGUAUAACACGGUAGCCGUGGGUCGUAAUAGUGAAAAGUUUUAAUUAUAUUUUACUAUACUUUAUUUUAUUAUUAUUUUUACUUACUUUAUUAUAUUAUUGUUUGAAGGUUUUAUUAUAUUUUUCAAAUUCUACAUUAAAAUUUAGAUUUAUUUUUAUUUUUUUAUCUUUUUCUUUUUCUUACAUAUAUUACGUACCAAAUUAUUUUUUUCUCGCCAGCUUUAAUUAUUUUUAAUUAUUAUUUUAUUAUUUUUAAUAUUAUUAAAAUAAGUUGAAUAUAUUUCUGUUAUUUUUAAUUAGUAUUUUAUAGUGUAGGGAUAAAAAAAAAAGCGGUGCUUUAAAAAAAUUAGUAUAAUAUAAAAAGUGAAAAAAAAUCUCUAUAUUGUAAUAUAGUAUAAGUGUAAUUAAAUCUUAAAAAAAUAAUUACGGCACAUCGUAUGUGAUAAUUAGGCAAAAAAGAGAAUCCUGGCCUGCGCACAGUUCAUGCACGGCACUAGUAGGAAAGUCCAAUUUUGAGUCUCAAUGUAUGCGUGUGAUUUAGGAGGCCAAUAGGUCGGAUUCCGGCAGAUUUUUAGAAGUUUGAAUCCGAAUCCAACUCCAAAUCUGAAAUCUCAAUCCGAAAAAGACAUAUCCAAAUCCGAAAUCGACUAAAAAUUCGAAACCCGAAAUAAUUAUUUUUCUUUUCAAUAUUCCAAAAUAUAUUACAUUAAAUCUAAUUUUUUAAAAUACAAAUUGAAAUAUAAUAUUAAAUUUUAAUACACAUGUUAUAUAUAUUAUAAAAUAAAUUUGGGUUCUAGUCUGGUUCAAAUUCGGAUCAAAUACAGUCAAAAUUCAUUUCCGAAUUUAUACCCGUCGGGUCUUUGUUUCUGAUAUUCAUAUUCAAAACCAUAUUCGUUUAUCAUCAGGUAAAUUCGCUCCGUUCUAUUUCAAAUUCGGAUAAAAUUUUGAGUAUCUACACGCAUUAACAUCCCUAGUAUGGUGUUCUUUUUCUGGGGCCCACUAGAUUUUACCCAGUGUGUGCCAGUUUCAACUCAUUUUUCCAUCCACAUAGCAAUUACUGUCUCCUAUAUUUAGCGAGUGAGAGCAACUGCAUAAAAAUGUCCCUGUUUUGAUAUACUGUACCAAUAUUUUAAAAUAUUGGAAGAGAAAAAUAUAUGUUUUACUCGUUUAUAUCAGAUUCUAUACGGAUUUGAGUAUUUAAAUUAUUAAUAUAUCCAUCGAGUCUACUUGAGCAGAUUUAGAUAGUAACUAUCCGUAUACAGCCACUUUAAAAUUGGGUACAGAUCGAAUACGGGUCGGGUACUUUAAAAUUGGGUACAGAUCGAAUACGGGUCGGGUUUAGAUCAAAUAUGUGUAUCGGCAUGCAAAUUUUUUAUAGACUAUUAAAUAGUUUAUGGACAAAUUAUAAAUUUUUUACUAUAGAAAACUCACGUUCUAAUAAAUUGCACCAAGUUAAAGAGAUCAAAGAGGCAAAGAGAGUGGUUAGGGUUUGAUUUUUUUUUUUUUUUAACUCCUUUUCUUAAUUCCAAAAAUAAACAUGGAUCCCUAUUUAGAGAGAAAGAUUCCAACAGUAAACAACGGUUAGAAUUUUAAAAAUAAGGAGAAAAAAACAAAAAAAUAGUAAAUAUAGUGGCUAGGUUUCACUAAGACGAAAAUAUACAGAAAUUCCUCAUCUAUAAAUUCUAUAUAUUGUGAUAAUUUAAAUAAUAAUUAUCUUAUGCUUUUUUAAAUAAAUAAACAAAUAUAUAUUUUUACGUGUGUGUAUUUGAAAAGUAUAAGAAUUAAAAAAAAAAACAACUCGUGGGUAAUUCGCAUACCCAUCUGCUCACAUGUAUGGAUAUAUAAGAAUGCUGGCUAUCUUAAAAAUUUUUGAAUAAAUUUUAUUCGUACCUAAAUAAAUCUGCGGAUAUAAAAAUCAGCCCAGCACAUGAAUCAUUCAACACUAAAGUCAUGUUUUCAUACACGAGAUUUCUUUUUUUGCAGAAUGUUUUCGUUGGUGGGAGCGAUACAUCCUCAGCCACUGUGGUAUGGGCGAUGUCGACGGAACUAAUGAGGCACCCGCAAGCGAUGAAAAAAGCUCAAGAAGAAGUAAGAAGCCUCAUCGGGAGGAAAGGAAAGGUAGAGGAGCCCGACAUCGACCAACUACGCUACCUCAAGUGCGUUGUGAAGGAGACCUUGCGGUUGCACCCAUGCUGCUCCCAAGAACAACGUUGCGGCAUUUUAAAAUCGACGACAAUGAUGUCCCGCCCGAUACAAUGAUAUUCAUCAAUGCUUGGGCGAUCGGAAGGGACGGGAGUUACUGGGAAUCGCCGGAGGCAUUCAAGCCAGAGAGGUUCACGCAUAGUUCGGUUCUCGAGUUCGCGGGAAAGGACUUCAAUUUGAUACCAUUUGGGGAAGGUCGCAGGAUCUGCAUGCCCCAGGAAGAACCUCGGGAUAAAAACGGUCGAGAUCAUGCUCGCCAACCUUCUUUACUCCUUCGACUGGGAACUUCCAACUGGUAUGACGAAGGAGGACAUCAACAUGGAUGAGGCGCCGGGUGUUGCUGUGCACAAAAGACAUGCUCUCCGCCUUCCCGCCACUAGAUAUAGCAGCAUCAAUAGCUAAAAUAUAUACAUAAAUACACCACUGUGCAUCUACGUACGUAUCAUCUCUCGCGCAACAAUCUACCUAGCUAUAUCUAUUAUGUGUCUUACUAGCUAUAUAUCUUAGUUAUGUGUAUAAUAUGCAAAUCAUAUGCUUAUACCUCACAACUUCUCAGACGUACAAAAAUUAAUUUAUCAAUAUUUAAGUAUAGGGUAGAAUCACAUAUAUAUUCUACCUUAUUAAGACAGCAGUGUUUAAGAAGACUCUGCAGACCGAGACCUGACCUGACGUGCGUACCCCUUUCAUCCAAGAAGUAUUCGGCUGUUGAUUCUGAAUAUUACUGUACUAAUUUAAUAAAAGAUGCAUUCAAUUAUAUAUGAUUUAAACUGUUUGGGGCAUUUAAACGUGAGGCCGUUGUUUUAAUGCAUUCAUCUAGGAUUUACUAGCUCGAAUGAAAAAGACCAGUUCAAUGGUUUCUCUGAGUGCCGCUGAACAGAAAGCCACAGGCCAAGCUGGGGCACGCCACGGACCGGCUCGGCCCAUUACACUGGGCUGUACUGGGCCGAAGCUAGGCACGGCACGGCCUAGGGCCUAAGGCCUUCGGCCUUCGACCUUGGGGUCUGAGUUCCUCCCUAGAAGCUCUCCUUCCAAAGUCUGCCAAUGAAGGCCUUGGGAAGAAGGGGUUGGUCCAUUGGAUCAAAACCUCGCAAUGUAUCACUUUUUUUUAAAAAAAUAAAGAUUAUAAUUUUUUAAAAAAUCAAAAUAUUUAUUAUUUUAUAAUUAUUUUUAUAAAUAUUAAUUGUUUUGAUCAAAUAUAAACUUAAAUGGGUGUAAUUUUAUUUUUUUAUAUUUUUAAUUUUAUAUUUUUAAAAGUUUAAAAAUAAAUAAUUAAGAGAUUGGUCCGAAGCACGGUACAGUUCGGCAUGGCCAGUGCCUUUCAACCUAAAGGACCGUGCCGGGCCAAAGGCUUGAAACAUGCAACUCUUCCGGCACGGUCGGCUCCUAGUCUAUUUUGGUCAGGAUAAUAUAUAUGACCUUGUUGUCUAACACAGCCUACAUUAGACUUUUAUAUUUAUAUAAUAUCACAUUUCUUUUUUCCUCUUUCUUCUUAUCUAUUUUUUUCAUCAUUACAGUUGACAUAGUCUACCUUGCUCAUUCUACUUCUCACACGGAAUAAAAGAAUAAAAUUAAGGUAAAAACAUUUGUUACUAUUAGAAUUUUUUUUUGAAAAAAAAAAAGUUUGCUAUCCGCUUCAUUCAUUAAAAAUAAGAAUUAGGCUACAUGUGUGAGGUAAUAAACCUCGGUACUCUUAGAAAUUACUGUAACCAUGUUUUACAUGUAAUCAAGGGUGAAUUUAUUGAAAAUCAUAUAUUGGAACCGUCAUAGAUAAAACGGUGGGAAGGAGGUAUUUUGGGGUGGGAAGUGACGUGAGAGUACGGUUAAUGUAGAAGAAAAGAUGUAAUUUAUUUCGGUUAGAGCUGAUAAUGUGAAAUGGGUAAUUUAUUUGGAUUGGAAUCGAUAAGAUGAAAUAGAAAGAAAUCGUAAAGAAAAUACGACUGAUGCUACGUACGAAGGGGUGGAUAGUAAGUGGACUUUUUUGAUUAGUUAAUUUUACAAUUUUUUAUUAAUAAAAUUUAAAUUUAAAAUUUUAAAAAAAUUAAAUAGUUAAAUUUAAAUAUGUGGUGGUUGCCAUACUAUAAAAAUAUGAUCAACAGACAUAAAACUUUUAGCGACAACUUGGUGGGUAGUUUAGACGGAAAGAAAUAAUAUCAUUUUCCAUACGAAGUUUCUCGACGCUACCUAGGUUCUUGAACGCAUCAAACUUCUGGCGAAAUCGUGGAAUCAGCUCCUUUGACUGCAUCGGCUUACGAAGCUUCUCAACGCUCCCUUUUUUUUUUUUUCCCACCCUUCCCUCACCCUUUCCCCUUUCCCCUUUUCCCUUUUCGCCAACCUCUUUUCUGUUUUUUCUUGUUCUGUUUUGGCACUAUUUCGGAGGCCCUAGCUACUUUCAUUCUGUACGCUCGGUUAAUUUUACUUAAUGAAUUAACCAAAUAACUUGCUACCUCUUGCUCAAAAAUAAAAGACAUAAAAGACAUUUUUUUUCUUGUGCACUAACGUAUAUAUCAAAAUGAAUGCGGAUUAUCGGUCUCUACUGAGCAUUAACGUAUCCAGCUAAUUAGAGCAUAGUUAGUUAAUUCGGAUUCAGCAAAAAUUCGGUCCGGGUAUAAUAUGCAUAAAAUUCGUUUUCUAAUUUUUAAAUUUAUUGAAAAAUUCGGCUUAAAAAAUAGAUUCAGUAUAAAAUAUAAAUAAAAUAUAAGAUAAUCUAUUUUUUAAAAAAAAUAAUAAAUUUUUUAUUCAUAUUUUCACUAAUUCGGAAAUAAUUCGCGAAUUACUCGGCUGGCCAAAAAAUUCACGAAUAAUUCUCUUUUUUUGAAAAAAAAUUCAUAAACGAGACGUUUAAUUUGAAUUUUCAAUAAUUCACGAAUUAACUAACAAAGAAUUAGAGUCCGUUGAAACUAAAAGCAAAAUAUUAUGUCUCUUAGAUAGACCUCCUGAGUAACAUCGUACAUCAUAAUUAUAAGGAAUAAUUGCCUAUAUACUCCAAAAACUUUGAAAAUAUCUUAUUACCCUUAUUUUUUUUCCUUUUCAAUAUACACCUCAUAUGUUCUUCCGUUUUUUCAAAAUACCGAUACAGUUAUCACCUAUUAAGUCAAGUUGAGUUAAACGUGAGUUAAAUAUCUACUACAGUUAAAAAAAUUUAAAAUGACACUUUUGCCUUUAACUUAAGGGCAAAUAAGAAAUAUUAAUGAUAAUAAAAGGGUAUAUUUGAAAAGUCCAAGAAACAAAAUACUUUUUGUGCCCCUAACUUAAGAACAAAUAAGAAGGUGCGGGUAGAAAAGUAUAUUUGAAAGGACACAAUAGUAAUUUUAUAAAGAUAAUAGAGUUCGUUAACAUAAUUCAUUAACAGAGUUUAUUAACAGAUUUUAACUCUACGGGUAUAUUUGAAAUAAAUUAGAAUGUAAAAAAAUUAUUUUCAAUAUUAACCUUCCAAAAAGGUAAAUCAGAAUGUCGGGAAUUUUGGGUAUAUAAUUAAGCAAUUACCCAUAAUUAUAAAAAGGCUGAAUUAUAUUUUACAAUACUUUAUUUUAUUAUUGUUUUAUUACUGUAUUAUAUUAUUCUUUAAAAGGUUUUAUUAUAUUUUUCAAAUUCUACAUUAAAAUUUAGAUUUUUUUAUUUUUCUAUCUUAUUAUUUUCUUUUCUUACAUAUAUUACCAAACUAUUCUUUUUCUCGCCAAUUUUUAUUUUACUGCUAAUAAAUAUACUAUUUUAGACAAAAUCUGAUAAAUUUUUUAAAAGUUGUUGUUUAAAUAGUAAAACAAAUAUAAAAUAAAUGUUCACGAUAGACUCAUUGAAACUUCUAUCAAGUUAUUUUUAAUUAUUAGUUUGUUAUUUUAUGUAUUUUAUUAUUUUUAAUAUCAUAAUAAGUUGAAUAUAUCUCUAUCAUUUUUAAACAGUAUUUUUUAGCAGUUUUAUAUAAAAUUAUAUGUUUAUUAUUUGUAGUGUAGGGAUUAAUAAAAAAAAAGUUAAGCGGUGCCUUAAAAGAAAUUUGUAUAAUAUUGAAAGUGAAAAAAAAAAUCUGUAUAAUACAAUAUUAUAGUCUAGUGUACGUAAUUAAAUCUUCUUCUUUUUUUUUUAGAGAGAUAGGUAGCACGUUACCUGUUUCGUUUUUUAAAUUUAGAAAUAAAUUUAGUUGGAAAUGUGAAUCAAUUAGAAUUCGAAUUUGAAAUCUCGAAUACUAGUACCGUCAAGCCCUUUGUCACUUGUUUUAGAGACAGUCGGUUACAUAAUUAGAUCUUACAGCUAGAGGUGGCAAUCCAGCUCGUUGUUCGCGAGCCAGCUUGUGUUCGGCUCGAAAUGAGCUCGAGAUCGGCUUGAUUUUUUAGCUCGUUUAAUAAACGAGUCGAACACGAGCUGGGGUCAGCUCGCUUCUGUUCGGCUCGAUAACAGCUCGAAUACAUAUAUUUUAUAUUUAUAUAAUUUAUUUAAUUUAUAUUUUUAUAUAUAAAUAAAUAAUUAUAUAUAAUAUAUAUUUUUAUUAUUUUAUUUUUAGCAAAAUAAAAAUAUAAAUGCGAGCUUAAUUAUAAAAAGACUUAUUUAUAUGUAAAGUUUCACCUAUUAGAUUAAAGUCUAAUGGAUAAGAUUUGAUAAACUUAUUUUUUAUAUAUAUUUAAUCUAAUCAUUUUUAAUUUAUUGUUCGUUGGCCAGUUCGUGAAACAGCUCAUGUUCGGCUCGUUAAUAAACGAGCCAAACACGAGCUGAAUUUUUCCACUUGAUACUUUAACGAGCCAGCUCGUGUUUCGCUCGUUUAAUAAACGAGCCGAACACGAGCCGACCUCAGCUCGCUCGUGUUCGGGUCGUUUACACCCCUACUUACGGCACAUCGUAUGUGAUAAUUACGGAAAAAAGAAAAUCAUGGCACACAGCUCUUGCACGGCACUAGUAGGAAACUCUAAUUUUGAGUCUUAAUGCGUGGGUGUGAUUACGAGUGAGAGCAACGUCAGAUGCGUAGAUAUAUGGAAACGGGUAUGGACGUGCAUUCGUUGUACAACAAACAUGCAUAAAUUUUAAGCAUAACAAAACAUGAAUAAUGGAGGCCUCGUCUAAUAUCUUAAACAUAAAUAUAAAUUCGCACUCGGUAAACGCCUCCAAAUAUCUUUACAAUAUAGUAAAUAUUGACACUUCAAAAGGUGUCAUAAUACGAACCCUCAAUAAUAUCAAACUAAUUUAUUAAAUAAUAUUUAUUAUUAUUUUUAAUUUUUCAACGUUUUAAAGGAUUAAGAUUUAAAAAAAUUUUAAUACUUUAUAGCGUAAGAAUAUAUUUUACUAACACUUAGCAUAAAUAUCGAUAUAUCUAUGACGAUUUUUUUUUUAUAGAUAUUUUGAUUGAUACUUUCAAACAUGACGUUAAAAAAAAAAUUUAAAAUAUUAUUUUUUUUCGUAGCAAUACAAGAUUAUAUAAGGCAGCAAGAAACAAAAGUAUUGAUUGGCUUCUAAACUUUUCCGUAUGGAAAAUAAAUUUGUAACUUAUAUUGAUAGAAGCAACUAGACUACGUAAGUACAACGAUAAAUCAAAUCAUGUAGCUUUUAUGAGUGGGGCACGGAGGUAACGGCGUGCGUUAUCUUUAAUGAGUGGGUAACGGCGUCCGUUAUCUUUGGUACCUACCCGUGAGUUUUUUGUAGGUAGGAGUGUCCAACGCCAUGGCAAUCAUCUUUCCAUUUUCUGACGAAGUACUUUGUCCUAAUAAACAUAAAUAAGAGAAAUGCUGUAUGUUGGAUAUAAAAUUAUGUAAAAUAAUUAAGUAAUUAAAUCUUGCCAAGUGGUAAUUAUGUAAGGCUUAGUUUUCAAAAUAUUGGACAAUAUAAAAUUAAGGGCGCUAUUAAUUUUACAAGGCUAAUUAUAACCUAUUCACCAACACCUAUAUACACAAAUCUAAUUUAAUUAAAAACAAACAAUUAAGUAUGUAUGAAUAUAAUUAAGGAGGUCAUGAGCUCAUUUGGAUCUGCAGAAUGUGGUGUUGUCUAAUAAUUAGGUUUGAAUGGCAACGGUAAGAGCAGUACUACGUCAAAAUCGUUUUUUUUUUUUUAGAAAAAUUGAAAAUUUCAAAUUAAAGAUUUUACUUUGAGAACCAAAAUACGAUUUUAAUUGUACAGCUGCACUAUCUAGGAAACUUGUUGCGGCUGAAAAGUCGUCCAUGAUUUGUGUGGCAUGCAGAUACUAUAUAAACGCAAACAUGAGGCAUGCAGAUACUAUAUAAAUGCACAGCAUAUGCAUGAGCUCUUUUACUUCAUACCUGAAGCACCCCAAAUUAAGUUUCUAUGGCUCUUUCUGACAUGAUUGCCUCCCUGCAGCCUUUCCUUCUUGUUCUCCUACUACUACUCCCUCUUCUACUCCUCACAAGAAGAAACAAGACUUCCAGUCCAUCACUAAAACUUCCCCCGGCCCCUCCCAAGCUGCCGUUAAUCGGCAACCUCCACCAGCUUGGUAUACUCCCCCACCGCUCCCUCUCUCGGCUCUCGCAGCAAUACGGCCCCCUCAUGCACCUGAUGCUCGGCAGCAGGCCGAGCAUCGUGGUCUCCUCUGCCGACAUGGCCCGGGAGAUCCUAAAGACGCACGACCUAGAGUCCUGCAGCCGACCAUCCCUCACCUCAUUUACAAAGCUCUCCUACGGUGGCUCGGACAUCGGCCUCGCGGGGUAUGGAGAGCAGUGGAGAGAGCUCCGAAGAAUUUCCGUCAUCGAACUUUUCAGCGCGAAGAAGGUCGCCUCCUUUCGAUCCAUUAGAGAAGAAGAGGUGGAAAGAACUAUGAGCUUGAUAUCCUCAUAUUCAAGCAGUUCUCUCCCCGUCGAUUUGAGCAAAGAACUGAUAGAGCUCACAACCGCAAUCACUUGUAGAAUGGCUUUCGGAAGGAGCUACCAUGAUGUUGGAAGCAGGUUUCAGGCGAUUCUGAACGAAACACAAGCUAUGCUCGCGGGCUUUUUCAUCGCAGACUACUUGCCUAUCAUCGGAUGGGCCGAUUGGCUCACAGGGAUGAGAGCGAGGCUCCGUAAGAACUUUACCGAUCUUGAUCUGUUCUACCAACAAGUCAUCGACAAGCAUCUCGACACACUGCAGCAGCAGCAGCAGCAACGUGACUCUGGUGAAGACUUUGUGCAUUUAUUACUGCGCAUGCAAAAGGAGGAGAAAAGUCUAACCACAGACCAGAUCAAAGCAGUACUUAUGGUCGGUAAAAUACGAUAAUAUAUCACAUAAUUUUUUUUUUUUUUGAAAAAAAUUCAUUCAUUAAGAACAAUAAAUUUGGCAAUAACAAUAUGUAGAGCUAACAAUAUAUUGCUAUUCAUUCCUUAGGGUACCCGCAGAUUAUCGAUAGAUUUGCGAGUAUGAACACUGAUUUUUUAUCUAAAAGGAUGUGGGUAAAACAGAUAGAUUCAUAUAUUUUCGACAACCCACAGAAACUAGCAUGUAUAUAUAUUUUUUAAAUAAAAUAAGUGAAUAUUUAUUUUAUUUUAUUUACCUCUAGAUUUUUAAUUUUAAUUUUUCUUAUUAUUAUUUUAAAACUCUAUAUUAUCUAUUGUAUAUUAUGAUAAUNAUAUAUAUAUAUAUAUAUAUAUAUAUAUAUAUAUAUAUAUAUAUAUAUAUAUAUAUAAAGAGAGAGAGAGAGUGAGCUGGUAUGUUUCUGGAAGUACAAAACUUUCCGUGUUUCUAAGUUGUUUUCGAUAGAAUUUUCGAAUCGACGAUCGGCUCCAUUAAACUUGAUCUAGAGUAUUUAAAGUAUCUAGAAAAUAAAUUUUGUGAUUUUUCGAUAUCAUUUGCCAAUGAUUAAAGGGCUUAAAAUCAAUAACUUUAAUAACCGUGGUGAGCUGUUUACAAGUUUAACGGUGUAAAAAUAUUCAAAUCACGUGAAAUUUUGAUUGAAAAUUCUUUAUACUAUAUAAAACAAGAUCAAUAUUUUUUAUCUAAAAUUUUAAUAUCAUAUCAUCCUAUUUUGCAAUAUUUUUAUUUUCAGCCGUUGAUUUUGAACUACUUCGAUCACUAAGCAAAUGAUAUCAAAAAAUCGCAAAAUUUAUUUUCUACAUACUUAAAAUACCCUAGAUCAAGUCUAACGGAGCUAAUUGUCAAUUCGAAAGUCUCAACAUCGAAAACGAGUUGAAAGCACGGAGCAUUCUGUGCUUCAAAAAGUAUAUCGGCCCCACCCUAUAUAUAUAUAUAUAGUGUAGAGCUACUAUACUAUCGGAAGUAUAGAGGACUUGAUGUUUUCGACUUUUUGACCAUUGAAUCAAGAAUUGUUCGGUCGAAAUGAUUGUGAUUCUGCCUAGAGUUAAGUAAUAUUCCUAGGAUUGUGUGGUCCCCACAAAGUACUAGUAUUAAUCCAAAGCUUAUAAAUGAUUAAAAAAGUUGAUCUAAGGGCCAAAAAAUUGAAAGCAUCAGAUUUUCUAUAAUUUCGAUAGUAUAGUAGCUCUACACUCUCUCUCUCUCUCUCUCUAUAUAUAUAUAUAUAUAGAGAGAGAGAGAGAGAGAGUGACUGGGAUAUUACCGAUAGCACCAAGCGUUUGAUACUAUUGAGUUUUCCACCGUUAGAUUUAAUUCUUUGACUAUUUUCAUCCGUUGAAUUAUACUAUUAAACCAAUAACUCACUCAAUCCUAAAGGGCCAACAUCAGCCUAGUUCUAUAUAUGUGUAUGUUUGAAAAGUAUAAUAAGAAUAAGAAAAAAAAACACCUCGUGGGUAAUUCGCAUACCCAGCUACGUACGUACCCGUUGGUAUGAAUAAGAAUGCUGGCUGUCUAAAUAUUUGUGAAUACAUUUUAUUCAUACCUAGAUAACCUGCGAAUAUAAUUAUCAGCCCAGCCACGAAUCAUUCAACACUAAAGUCAUGUUUUUACACACAAGUUUACUCAUUUUUGUAGAAUGUUUUCGUUGGUGGGAGCGAUACGUCCUCAGCCACUGUGGUUUGGGUGAUGACGGAACUAAUGAGGCACCCGCAAGCGAUGGAAAAAGCUCAAGAAGAAGUGAGAAGCCUCGUCGGGGGGAAAGGGAAGGUGGAGGAGAGCGACAUCGACCAACUACGCUACCUCAAGUGCGUUGUGAAGGAGACCAUGCGGUUGCACCCGGUGGCUCCCUUGCUGAUCCCUAGAGCAACGUUGCAGCAUUUCAAAAUCGACGGCUAUGAUGUCCCGCCCAAUACGAUGAUAUACAUCAAUGCUUGGGCGAUCGGAAGGGACGGGAGUUACUGGGAAUCUCCGGAGGCAUUCAAGCCGGAGAGGUUCAUGAAUAACACGGAUCUCGAGUUUGCAGGAAAGGACUUCAAUUUGAUACCAUUUGGGGAAGGUCGCAGGAUCUGCCCAGGGAAGAACCUCGGGAUCAAAACGGUUGAGAUCAUGCUCGCCAACCUUCUUUACUGCUUCGACUGGGAACUUCCAACGGGCACGACAAAGGAGGAUAUCAACAU
rnacentral:lncRNA from 1 species